CAUUUUUUACUUUAAAAUUUUUAUUUUUUACUUUUUAGUUAUAAUUUAAUAUAACAAAUAUAUAUUAUAUAUUUUAAAAAAUAUAUGUAAAAAAAUUUAUAGUUUAGGGUUUAAAAUUGUUUUACAUAUAUUUUUAAAUGUCAUAAAAUAUAUCCCUAUUAUUAUAUUAAGUUAUAAUUAAAAAUAAAAAAUAAAAUUUUAGAGUAAAAAUCGGUGCACCGGGUGCACCAAGAAAAACCCCACUGCUCUCCCAAAUGGCCGAGCAGCGGGGGCGAUGGGCCCCACGUGGGGGAUUAUGCGGCGCCAUCGGAGAAGUUCAGGUGUCACGCGGCAUCCAUCCAUGGCGUCCCCAAAUUAUUUUCUAUGGACAUGGUGUCCAUAAAAUUUGUGUCUGCACUAAGGAACUUAACCAAUUCCGACUGAAAAUGACUUAAGUUUCGGGAUUGUUUCCGGUCCUCAUUUCGCGUCUAAACGAUUCUAACUCAUUCCGACACUCUCUAAAGGCGAUCGAUCUAUUAUCAAACUAUAGCCUUUUCGACAGUUAAAUUUUCGAAACGCUACAACUACCUUUAAGUUUUCAAAAAAUUUAUAGGGUACUACCCUUUGGUUUUCAAAAAAAUACUGUACUAUUUUUUUGAUGGUAGCUUUUUUCAGGAAAAUAAAAAUAAACCCUAAUAAAGCAUAACUUUUUAAAUCAUAGGGAUGCGGAAGAAAAAUGCGGUAAACCGUGGGGCAAAUUGAAGUUUUACUCAACUAUUCCUCCGCUUGCCCGUACCUCUCUGGCCAACCGGUUGCUAAUUUAGCCAACCGGAGCAGAGGGAGACCUUAAGCACGAAGCAAACCGAAGUUAGGGUUGGUUUCAAAGCUCGCUCCUUACUCUCCGCAUUUAGCGCUUGAUUUCUCCGUAGAAAUUGGUAUGAUAGUCGUUCUUUUUCUAUUUCUUUUCCAAUUUUUCCAAUUUUCCCUCUGUAUUUUGCUACAGAUUUAAGAUUUUCUCAUCAUUUUAACUGUUGUUGCAAAAUUUGGGGCAUCAAUUAGGGUUUUUCUCUUCUCAAUUUCUUUUGUUAUUUAGAGGACUUUUCAUCGAAUUAGGGUUUGCUUCUGUUUCUUCGAUCAUGAUCUCGUCAUCUUGAUCUGAAAUUCAUGUUUGGUAGAUAUGGAUUCCGUUUAUGGAUUAUUUGCAUCAUCAGAUCGAUCAUAGAUUGCUUGUAAAGUUCAAGAUUAGAUCUUCACCUCUGUGUCUCUUUAUAUAAGCAGAUUAGUUGAGACGAUUCGAUACGGAGACAUGAGCAAGCAAUCACUGAUAUACAGCUUUGUGGCGAAGGGCACGGUUGUGCUCGCCGAGCACACCUCGUUCUCGGGGAAUUUCAAUACGAUCGCCAUCCAAUGCCUCCAGAAGCUUCCCCCGAAUAGCAACAAGUUCACUUACUCCGCCGAUGCUCAUACCUUCAACUUCCUCGUUGAUAAAGGGUUUGGUAUGGAUUCUCUCAGGAUUUCACAGCUUUUAAGCCAGGUUUAAAGGAAAUUUUUCUCGUACCUUCCAUGUUAUGUAGUCCGAUUUUGCUCUUACGGUCUAAAUUAGAUUGAUAUUCUGAUUGUCUGGUAGGCCUUGCCAUUUGAUGAUGCAAUUGCUGUUAACUUUCGAUAUUUUCCACCCUCCUUUUUUAUCGUAGUCUAAUAAGUUUUUGUGUUUGGCACGUGGUCAAUGUUAGUAAUGAUACUAAUGGCAAGUCCAAAUAGGCAAUUGGAACAGUGAUGAUAGGGCAUUAAUUAUGUGAUAGUUUGGGACAUGGGUUAGUUUGUUUGGCCUUACUGUAGAGUGAAUGAUGUUCAAUGAAGUCAUCUUCGAGUAGUUUUACUAGAAGAUGCUCUAUGUAUCAAUCUCCUCAUCAGCUUCCCUGUACAGCAGAAGCAGAAGCUUAAGCUUCAAACUGAAACUUCUGCUUUCGAGCGUGGGAACUCAUUUUACCUUGCUUCAUAGGAGAAGCACUAGAUUCUCUAUUUGCCAAAUGCUCUUCUAGAGGUGGCUAUCGUUGAAAGGAGAAAUAAAAGCUAGGCCAAAUGGGAAAUAAUCCACAUGAUACUAAAAUGAAAUCGGGUUGUACCACAAGCGGGUUAUCUAGAGUUCCCUUUACUUUUCUUGUUUAACCGUAUUUAGUUUGAUUGUGUGCCUUUUUGGAUAGUUUUUCUUGUUGUAGCCGAUGAAGCAGUUGGGAGGAGUGUACCUUUUGUGUUUUUGGAGCGCGUUAAAGAUGAUUUCAUGCAGCGAUAUGGUUCAAGCAUUGGGUCUGAAGAUCCGCACCCUCCUGUCGAUGAGGAGGAUGAUGAUCUAUUUGAAGAUAGGUUUAGCAUUGCUUAUAAUCUUGACCGGGAAUUUGGGUUAGUGAUAAAUUCUUCAUCUGCUAUUCUUUUCUUUUUUCCUUUCAGAGUUUGGUUUCUUGAACAUUUUGUGCUCACUAAAUUCUUUGCUUGGAAAGUCCAAGACUGAAGGAGCACAUGCAAUAUUGCAUAGAUCAUCCAGAAGAAAUAAGCAAGCUAUCCAAGCUCAAAGCACAGAUUACAGAGGUUAAGGGGAUAAUGAUGGACAAUAUUGAAAAGGUUUAAAAGAUUUCUCUACUCAUUUAUUAUGAUUUUGCAAGUAGUUGAUCAUAGUUUACAUAUAUGCCUCUGAAAGAAGAACAUAGGCUUUGUGAUCUUCGUUUUAGCAUGGGCAUUUAGUACUGACAAGGAAUUUUGUGGCUUACUCUUAGGCUAUUAAGUAUCAUAUAAGUGAUGUGAUUUAACUCAUUUUUAUUUAAGCGAUGAGAUAGUUAUUUAUAUUAUCCGAUCUUUAAAAAAAAGUGGUAUUCCUGGAAGGCAAAUGAUUUUCUGACUACAGUGGUGUUUAACUUAAAGCAAGUUGUUGAUAGGACAGUGUAGUUUGUGGUAUCAAACUUAAAUGGCCUGAAGGUAUGGUCAUAUACUGUCAAAAACUUGUUGCGUUCGAAUGGUUGAAUUGUUUCUUUGGGCACCACGAGUCAAAAACUUCGCGAUGCUAUCUUAAACUUUAUUUUGUGUUGACCACUUUAUUUUAUAUUUCUGGAGAACUUGAACUGUUUAUUUUGUGUUUCUCUAGAACUUGAUUGCAUCAUUUUGUGACUCAAAUGCUUUAUUUUGUGUUGAAUUAUUAUUACUUCAUGAAUCAUGAAGAUAUAGGCCACAAGAACCAGUUAGACAUUUAAUUUCGAGCUAUUUGACUGGAAGCAUUUGCAGGUACUUCUUUUUAUGAAAUUUCAAGUAGCAAUAUGUGUAAAUUAUUCAAUUACAUCAUUUUGUUGGGGGGCAUAUUUUCCUUCGAAAUUCAGUAACUGAAUGUAACUGAUGAAUUUCAGUUGCUUGGAUUCGUUAUUGGUUUUGUUUUGUUUGGAGAGCAUUAAAAAGGAAAACUAUUUUUCUUUUUUGCUUUUGCUUCUCUUUUCAGGGAAAAAAUGAAGAAUCGAGUAAAUUGAAAAAAUCAAAUUUGUUUAUAUCUAUCUUUUAUAUAUAAUACACAAAUGUUAACGACAAAUUACCUGUUUGCCUCUCUAAAAUAUGUGUUGUGACUGACAAGUCUUGGAUGUCCAUUGCUGUAAUGCUUAAUAAUUACAGCCAUUUGAUUAAAAACUUACAACUGAGAUUUAAUUAAAUUAGGCCUAUAAUCUUGUAAGUAUUGGGUCAAAUGGAUUGAGCGAAGCAAACCAAAUCAAAUAAAGCAGCACUUUGGGGUCAAUUGUCUUUGAUUUUUUUAGGGGUAAACUUCAAUUUGCCCCUCGGUGGUUUAGCUUAUUUUUACUUUGUCAUCAUGUGGUUCAAAAAGUUGCACUUAAUUAUCAUUCUAUGGUUAGCUCAUUUUCACUUUGCCAUCUUUGUUGUUCAAAAUGUUACACUUUACUACCCUGUGAUUAUCAAAAAAUUUCACUUUGCUACCUUAUUUGAUAUUAGAAUUUUUGGGUAAAAAUAGAGAUAAAAUCACAGAGUUGUUUAGUGCAACUUUUUGAACCAUAGGGCGGUAAAGUGAAAAAUGAUCUAAGCGGCAUAUUGAAGUUUACCCAUUUUUUAAUGUUUUUCAGUUCUUCUUGGUUCCAGGAACAGAAUUAACUUUCUCUGUGGCUUUUCUUUUCUUUUUUUUCUCCUUUUUUUGUUUCUAUAUUUCUUUUUAUAAUUAAACAGAGGGAGAGUUGGACUUUGUAAUUUGCAUUAAAUUUUCUGAAAUUGAUAUGGUACUUUUGCAAUCAAUAAAACUGAAAUACAAAUCAUCCAAAUAUGUUGCCAAACUGAUGAUCAUGAUCUCAAAUGUUGACGAAACAGACGAGCAGGAAACCAUUUGAUUUAUUGGUCUUCAACAUAUUCAAUGACUUACGUAUGAGAAAAUAGAUGCCUCUAUUAGUCUCAGUACAAAAUUUACCUACUUUAGAAAUGCCAAUGCUAGUUUAUCUGCCUCCUUGACAUCUCAAUGAUCUGCCUACGAAACCAUCAUAAUAAACAGCUGGCUUACCUGUUUUUAGCCUCUGUGUUACUUGUAAGGUGUUGAACAUCUUUUCUCAUUCCAAAUCCAGAAGCCAAAUUGAAAUGUAAUUUGAUGGUUGAAGAGGAGAGAAGAUGAAAAUCUCAAGUCAAGCCUAAUUUGUUAUUUUCUUUUUUUCUCCUCCAAAGGAGAAUAGGGGAAAAUAAUUUCAGAAAUUUAAUUGAUAAAAAUCUCCAUUUUAGACUCUUUAGCUCUCCUUUGGAUGGAUGUUACUGAAUGUUCAAAAUUGCCUGAGCAUUGUGUUUAUCAUGCGUAGUUUGCUUGUUAGUAGAUUUUAUGUUACAGCCUUUGUUCUCAUUAGGUUCUCGAUCGAGGAGAGAAGAUUGAACUUUUGGUGGAUAAGACUGCGAACUUGCAGUUUCAGGUACUUAUAGCCUUCAAUGCUUCAAAAUUGUUCUGAAUCGAUGAAGUCAUAAGAGUCCAUGCCUGUUAGGCUUAAGCUGAAGCUUCUGCAGAUGUGCUGGUGGAGUAAAUCAUUCAAAAAGCACCGAGAGCUUUUCAUUAAGGGCCUGUAUUGCCUAGCUCUUCAGUACACUGAAGUUCUCCACGACAAAAGCAGCCCCUAUUAUCCUAUUAUGGGGACCACUUUUUCCUUGUUGAGAUGCCUGCCACCUCUGUGGUGUAUGGUAGCUCUCAGAGUUGGAGCUUUUGCGUACCACAGGUGGUGUGCUUUGUAAUCAGAACACACUGAAUAAAAAAAGGGACUAAAAUCACAUUACAAUUCCGCUGAAGCUGUAGCAAAAGCUUCAAAUUGAAGCUUCUACUCCAAAAGAUCACCUAAAUUUCCGUUACAGGCUAUUUGCUAACACUCUGAAUAUUUUGUUUACCAAAUGCCUUACCACACCCUAUCUUUUAAAGUAGAGAAGCUGUUUCACAUGCUACAUAAAUCAGUCACUGGAAGGCAAUGAAAUGUAGGAUCAAGCAUUACAGUUUUCCUUUCUUUUUCUUGUCUGUGUCAGGCUGACGGCUUCCAGAGGCAGGGAAGACAACUUAGAAGGAAGAUGUGGCUUCAGAACCUCCGGUUUAAGCUGAUGGUGGGCUGUGCCCUUCUUGCUUUCAUACUUAUUUUAUGGUUGAUGACCUCAAAAGGUUCUUCAGGUGCCAGCAAGAGAAGUUAAAAACUCUCAUCUUUCUGCAUCAUAUGCGCAUAGGAUGGAAUAUCAAAUAUAGAAAUGUGGAUACUAUGUGAGGCUACCAUUUAUAGCUAAAUUUCAAUCAUUAGCUGUGGAAAAUCAGAAAAUAGUAGGAAGGGGCUGAUAAUAGUUGGAUUUAUAAGAGUGAGAUUUGUGAUUUAAAUGCUUAAUAGGAUUGUUUUAAGGUCUUGUACAUUUGCAAGUUCACUGGGAGUUGGAAUUUGCCAAUUUGCUGCUGCUCAAGUACUUUCACUCAGGUGAUUUUUUUGCUUUUUUCUCUAAUAUUUUGGUACUGUAUUACUUUUCUACCAAUCUGUCGGUCCCAAGAUUUUUCCUAAAAUCCCACACACUUCCUAAGGGUUUGUUUUCAAUAGGUAAAUCAGUGAGAAUCAAAGUAUUAUUAAUAAUAACCGACUCUAUCUCACUAUUUUUUUGCUUCUCUUCAAAAAGAAUCUUCGAGGGAGGCAAUUAUCCUACCAUAAAGUAUAGGCAAUUAUUUUAUCAUGUUACGUCAUUACAUAUUCUAAGUCAUUGUCUGAAGGAUCAGUGUAAAUCACAAAUUCUUCUCUCAUAACUGGAAGGACGAGGAUAAGAGAUGACAUUAGCCUCUGCAUCAGUUCUUCAAAGAUUCUUUGGCAGUCCUCAUUUCAAAUGAAUUUAAUUUCCUUUCAAGUCAACUGAGUGAGAGUUGUGGAAAGCUUCGCAAAGCCUUCUGCGAACCAACAAUAGUAUUCGACCAAUCCAAGAAAAUUUCUCACCUGUAUAAUUGUCAUUCAAUUUGGGCUAAUUCCGAAUCACCUUAAUUUUCUGAGUCUGCUGCAACACCUAAUAUUGAAAUCACAUGGCUCAAGAAAGGAACCUUCUGAACCCAAAACUCAUACUUAUUCAAGUUUAGCAUACAAUUAUUUUUUCCCUCAGAAGUUGUAGCAUUAUCCUCAAGUGUUCCUUAUACUUUAUAUAUUACUCUGAGAGUAUAUCAUGAUAUGUCGAUAAACACCACAAUGAAUUAACCGAAGUACGGUUUGAACACUCUAUUCAUCAAAUCCAUAAAUGCAAUAGGGGCAUUUGUUAAUCCAAGUGGCAUAAAGGUAAACUCAUAAUGCCCGUACCGAGUCCUGAACGCAGUUGCGGGUAUGUCUUUGGCCUUUACCUUCAUUUGGUGAUAAUUAGACUGCAGAUCAAUCUUGGAGAAGAUACAAGAUUCUUACAGCUGAUCAAGUAGAUCAUCAAUGCACAACAAAGGAUACUUAUUCUUGAUGAUCAUUUUGUUUAAUUCCUCGUAGUCAAUACAAAGCUUCAGUGAAUUAUCUUUCUUUUUCACAAAUAACAUCGGCACUGCCCAGUAUGAUAACACCAGUGCUCUCCAAGAUGAUACAUUGGAUCUCACAAAUCCUUUCUCCAUCAAAUCCUAAAGCUACACCUUAAGCUCUCUUAGCUCUGCCAGUGUCAUCUAGUAGGGUGCCUUCGAAAUUGGCGCAAUUUUGGGAACUACGUCAAUCACAAACUCAAUCUCCCUAUCCGGUAGCAUACUCGUCAACUUUGGGGGGAACACGUUCAGAAACUUGGACUAUAAGGAUAUCCUCGAGUCCCGACACUGCUGUAGGCACCUCUACCAUAGUCGCCAAAAAGGCUAUGCAUCCUCUGUUCAUCAUCUACUUUGCCCUCAAUGUGGAGACCAUCGUAGCAAAUAAAGUGCUCCCGCAGUCUCCAUAAACAAAUUCCUCAUAUCCUAAUUCUUAGAAGGUCACCAUUCUAUCUCCAUAGUCUAUCUUCGCGAAGUAGCAUGCGAGCUAGUUAAUCUCGAGCACUCUAUCAAAAUCCUGUAUACCACCUCAAGACCAAUAGGUCUGCAGGCAUUAUUCAUGAUCCUAAUUGCACUGGACAUGGCCAACAAUACUCCACAUAUAAUACAUGAUCUGGUAUAUGUACCUCUCGCACAUGUGGUAACAAUCCUAUUUCUAGUUUAUGCGAUGAUGCAAAUACUCCGCUAAUAAAUGAAUGUGAUGACCGAUAUCAAAUAAUGCACGAACUCUAAUUCUAUUAAUUAAAAUGAUACCUGUCAUCAAAUUGUCGGCCGGUAUGGACUCCUCGACCUGGGCUAUAUAUACACCUAGUGACUAUGCGCUUGCUGUUGCUGCUUUGCUGGGCAUAGAACUAGAGCUCAAUUUGCCUGUGUAUUUGUCAGUAGGGCUCCCGACAUCUACUAUGGUGAGGAAAGAGCCAAUGUCAUCGAUAGUGCUGGCAAUGCUGCUCGGGGACAUGAUGACUGCAUAUGCCCUUCCUGUUCGCAUCGAAAACAUCGUCCCUCCUGCUACUCACAGAUACAUGGUUAGUGCGGUCCUCCUCAGAUAACACACCUAUCCUGUCGCCUCUGUUGCUGUUGUGGUCGCUAGGAUCCACUAGACCUCUGUCUUAUUGAGGACCCACGACUCUAAGAGCGAGAUCGUGGAGGCCUCGGCGGCCUCCUCGCAUGGUCUGUCCUUUGUCGUCUGGUACUAGGCGCUUCCUGUCGUGACCCUACUUCGACAUCGCCGCUUGCUCCCUCAUGACAAUGGUACUACGCUCCACCCAAAGAGCCUACUAUGACACCUCAUCGAGAGUCUGUAAAUGCUGCGCCUGAACCAAAGGGUAAAUCUCUGGUUGCAACCCUCGCUCGAACAAAUAUGCCUUGUGUGCCGCUUCCCUCACCACGAGCGGCAUAUAAUUUAGUAGUCGGUUGAAUUCUCUGGCAUACUCCUGGACUAUUUUGUCACCCUACUGCAAGUUUUUCAAGUAAGAGUUUUUUCUUUAGAUUGUUUGGGAAAUAGGUCCCAAGCAGCAACUCUCGAAACUUGGCCCAUGACACCUGUAUUGCACUCGGCGAUCAGGUCAAUUUGACUCUCUUCCACCAUGCAUGCGCAUUCCUCUCCAAGUAGUGCCCUGCCAAGUGUACCUGAUCAUUCUCGGGGAUGAAGAGAUCCUUAAAUAAUUUUUUUGUGGCUCCCACCGAAGCCUCCACUAUCCAUGAAUCGGUGCACUGGCUCGCGAACCUUGGCGGAUCGCGUCUACGGAAGUCUGCGCCCUAAUUCGCUCCUGCUCAGCUGUUGACAACUGUCUAGCAGCAUUGAGGUCUCAACACUGGGCAUCGGUGCUAUCGAAACUGUCGUCAUUGUAGGUGUCGUUAUUGUAAGAGCAAAUGCUGGUGUAGUUGGUAGUGACACUUUAGGCUCAGAGGCUCGCUAUACCUAGCUGUUACACCCAUAUCUAGCACAUUCUCUGCAAGAGAACUCCUUAUUGUCGAGUAGCCUCAACCAAGCUAGCCAAAUGCCCCCACAAAUCCUGCGGCUCACUUGGUCCCACUUGCUCCGGCUCCGUAGAUAGUAUGAGUGUGUCCCUCGUCAGUGGUUGACCCCUCCACGGCAUCAUGCUCACCUGCAAUAAUAUAUAUAUCAGUUAUACAUUGAAACAUAGUGCUCAACAUAAUCAAGCGAAAGUCUAGAAGGACAUCCCUUUUCCCCCGCGACAUUGUGCUGCUUGCAGUCGACAAAAUCAUCUGGCAAAAUCAUCCGGCAAGAAAAGACACAUUUUCUUCGAUCACUCUUCACCCUCUUUGAAGGUUUACACCGACCAAAUCACUAACUUUCAUCACAAGUCUUGUCUCUCAUUUAUUAUAUUCCUAGGGUCAACUAAAAGCCUAGGGUUUUCUAAGUCACAGAUGACCUACUCCUAAGCUCUGAUAUCAUUUUAAUCUGUCACUCCUCGGAUUACGGCGGUAACCCGGGCUCACCAACAGAGCCACUCUUACGUAGGAAGCCUUGUCUACACGAGGCGUCUAAACUUGCAAACAACUUAAGAGCUACAAUAAUAAUAGAUAUCAAAACUGGAAACACAAUAAUUAACAUAUAUGAUGCUAUACUAUAUAUACGUCACAUCCAAAAUACAUCCACAUCUCUCACAGCUAAAAAUAUACGCAAUAAAGUUGGCCUCGUAAGUCCCAGUAUGUACAAUAUGCUAUACUAGAAACUAGUGCUAUCGACUGCUCUGUUAGUACAUCCAGCUCGAGUAGGAGAUGCUAACUAACUCACAAUCUCCCUACCUCGGUCUGAAGCAGAAACAGGCACGGAGGGCUCUGAAAAAAAAAAAGGCAACAACGAAAGGUGUGAGAACUACUAAACAAGUAGUUUUCAGCGGAUACCGUCAUCGACAAUAACGACCUACCAAUCACGUCUACUAGAGGCAAAAAGUAGAAAGCAAUAUCAAGUAUACAACAAUAUAUAUAUAUAUAUAUAUCUUAUUAGUAUAUCUAUAUAAUAUUAAUACGAUUACAUUAUAUUUAUGCAUUAUACUAUAUACUAUAACCUUAUUCGUAGAAUACUCUCAAAAGCACCAAACCUUUCGUGCUUCAGUUUCUACCUCUGAGAUAUCUGACUCCCUUGAUAAAAUCUUGGCAAGAAUACUAUCUCCAUCUCACCAACCAAUACCACCAUUCAUCCUCAACCCCCUACCCUACAUUCUCAACAUCUCAAUGCCUAAAGCUCAAAAGCCACAACCCCUUGGUGUUUUGAGAGUAGUUCCUAGCUUCUCAACUUAGAUAUAUAUAUAUAGAGAAGAGAGAUAGAGAGAGACCGCGACUGAAAGAGAUAUCUUCCAGAUGGAUGAGAGGACGAGAUGAGAAUUCUCCAUCCAAGCUAAAGCUCAAAAAGCACCAACCCCGUGAUUGCCUUUGAUGAUUAUUCUAGCCUAAAUAUAUAUAUAUAUAUAUAUCAUAUAUAUAUAUAUAGAGAGAGAGAGAGAGAGAGAGAGAGAGAGAGAGAGUCUUGCUACUAUACUUAUGAGAACGAUCGUCUUCGUACUCAUAAAUCAUUUUCGAUGAUAGAGCUUCUGAAUCGACGAUUUGUACCAUUAAAUAUUAUUUAGAGCAUUCGAAACAUCUAGAAAUCAAAUUUCAUAAUUUUUCAACAUAAUUUAUCUUAUGAUCAAAAGAUCUCAAAAUUGACACUUUUAACAGUUGGUAUGAAAUAUUUGCUAGUUUAAUGGUAUAAAAAAAUCGAAAUCAGUUAAAUUUUUGAUAGAAAAUUCUAUUCACUAUCUAGAUAAAGAUCAAGAACUUCGAUCUUAAAUUGAAGUAUCCGAUCCUCUAUUUUUAGGGAGUCAUUCGAGUUUAACCGUUCAUUUUAUGCUCGCUUGAUGGACUUUAUUAUAAUUUUAAAAGAUUAUGAAACUUAUUUUUUAGAAAUUUCAAAUGCUCUAGAUUAUAUUUAACAAUAUGGAUCAUCAAUUCAGAAGCUUCAUCAUUGAAAACAACUUAUGAGUACGAAGGGCUCAAUACUCAUAAGAGUAUAAUAGUCCUACUCUCACUCUCUCUAUAUAUAAAACUAUGCUAGAAUAAUAUUAAUAGCACCAAGUCAUUGGUGCUAUUAGGUUUUAGGUUCUUGGAUGAAGAGAUGUGCGGUUAAGAUAAUAGUGAUCCCCUAGGGUUGAGUUGGUGGUUGUUUGAAUUGUAUGAUCUAAGGGGUGGAAAUGGUCAAAGGGGUAGAUCUAACGACAGAAAACUUGGUAGCACCAAGUGCUUCGUGCUAUUGAUAGCAUUGUAACUAGACUCUCUCUCUCUCUCUCAGUAUAUAUAUAUAUAUAUAUAUAGAGUGGGGCUACUAUGCUAUCGGAAGCACAGAGCCUUCCGUGCUUCCAGCUCGUUUUUGAUGUUGUGACUUUCGAAUCGUCGAUCCGCUCCAUUAAACUUGAUCUAGAGUAUUUGAAGUACCUAGAAAAUAAAUUUUAUGAUUUUACGAUAUCAUUUGCCUAGUGAACGAAGAGGCUCAAAAUCAAUGGCUGAAAAUAAAAAUCUUAAAAAAUGUAAUAAUAUGACAUUAAAAUUUUAAAUCAAAGAUAUUGAUCUUGUUUUAUAUAGUAUAAAGAAUUUUCUAUCAAAAUUUCACGUGAUUUGGAUAUUUCUACACCGUUAAACUUGCAAACGGCUCACUACGGCCAUUGAAAUUUGUUGAUUUUGAGCCCAUUCGAUCACUAGGCAAAUGAUAUCGAAAAAUAAUAAAAUUUAUUUUCUAGGUACUCCAAAUACUCUAGAUCAAGUUUAACGGAGCCGAUCGACGAUUUGAAAGUCGCAACAUCGAAAACGAGCUGGAAGCACGAAGGCUCCGUGCUUCCGAUAGCAUACUAGCCUCACUCUAUAUAUAUAUAUAUAUAUAUAUAUAUAUAUAUAUAUAUAUAUAUAUAGAGGCUAGGCUACAUCGCUAUAUGAUAGUACACUUGUCUAUCAAAUGAUUCUUGAUGAUAGAGAUUCGAAUUGAUGAUUGGAGCCGUUGAAGUUGAUCUAGAGUAUUUAAAAUAUCUAGAAACUAAAUUUCAUAAAUUUAAAAAUUAUUUACAUGGUGAAAAAUGUCGUAAAAUCGACAAUUUUGACAGCUUAUAUGAGCCGUUUGCUUGUUUAACGAUGUAAGCAAUCCAAAUUGCUUAAAUUUUGAUAGAAAAUUUUUUAUACUAUUUAGAUAAUGUUUAAAAACUCUGAUUAUGAAUUGAGAAGUCUAACCUUUAUUUAAGAAGAUUAUUCAUUUAUGACCGUUCAUUUUUAACUCUAGAUGACUUGAUAAGAUUUUUAAAUAUUACAAAAUUUGGUUUCUAAACAUUUCUAAUUGUGUAAAUCAUUUCAACGGUCGAUUAUCAAUUUGAAGUUCCGAUCAUUCAAACGACUUGAUAUACAAGUGCUCCUAUCCUAUUAAUAGGAUAGUAGCCGGACUAUAUAUAUAUAUAUAUAUAUAUAUAUAUAUAGAGAGAGAGAGAGAGAGAGAGAGAGAGUUGAACUGAAUGCUAUCGAUAGCAACGGACUCCGUUGCAACCACAUUUGUUUUUCGAUGAUGAAGCCUCCAAAUCGACGAUCGACACCGUUGAACAUGAUCUAUACCACUUAAAGUGUCUAGAAACCAAAUUUCAAAUCUUUUCGACAUCAUUAGCCUAAUGAUCAAUGGAUUUCAAAAAUUUUAAUUUUAAUGGUAGAUAUGAGGCAUUUUCUCGUUUAACGGUGUAAAACUAUCCAAAUCAAUUGAAUUUUUGUUAGAAAAUUCUUUAAACUAUUUAGAAAAAGAUCUAUGCUCUCGAUCUUGAUUAUAAAAUUCCUAUCAUCAUUUUUUAGAGGAUAUACAUUUUCAGCCGUUCAUUUUUACGCCCACUUGAUGGAGAAGAGAACAAUAUCGGAAAAGCAUGAAAUUUGAUUUCUAGAUAUUUCAAGGGGUAUAGAUCAUUUUCAACGGUGCCGAUCGUCGAUUUGGAGGCUCCAUCAUUAAAAACAAAUGGGUGGCAACGGAGCCCGUUUGCUACCAAUAGCAUUCCAGCUCAACUCUCUCUCUCUCUCUCUCUAUAUAUAUAUAUAUAGAAUUGAGCUCCUAUGCUUUUAAAAGUACCAAGUCAUUGGUGCUUGUAAGUUUUCAGCCCUUGGAUUAAAGAAUGUGCGGUUAGGAUGAUGUGGGCUCCCUAGGGUUUAGUGGUUAGUUGGUUGAAUAGUAUAAUCUAACGGGUGAAAAUGAUUAAAGGCGUAGAUCUAACAGUAAAAAAUUCACAAGCACCAAGUGCUUGGUGCUUUUACAAGCACCAUAGCCGGACUAUAUAUAUAUAUAUAUAUAUAUAUAGAACUAGGCUACUAUGCUAUUAAUAGCACCAAGUCAUUGGUGCUACCAAGUUUUUGGCCAUUGGAUUAAGAGAUGUGCGGUUAGAAUGAUGUGGGCCCCCUAGGGUUGAGUGGGUGGUUGGUUAAAUAGUAUGAUCUAAUGGCUGAAAAUGAUCAAAAAAGUAGAUCUAACGGCGAAAAACUUGGUAGCACCAAGUGCUUAUAUAUAUAUAUGAGUAGAGCUACAAUAGUAUCGGCAGCAUAGAGGAUCUGGUGCUUCCAAUUUUUUGGCGCUUAGAUCAACCACUUUAAUCAUUUCUAACCUUUGGAUUAAUACUAUUAACCUGUGGAGACCACUCAACCCUAGGGGUACUACUCAACUCUGGGGGGGGGUCGCCAUCAUCCCAACUAUAUAAUUUUUGAUCCAAUGGUCAAAAAGUUUGAAGCAUCAGAUCCUCUAUGCUUCCGAUAGUAUAGUAGCUCUACACUAUAUAUAUAUAUAUAUAUAUAAGAAGGGAAGAAAACCUACAGCUAUCGUGUCUCCAUGCUACAUAUGCUCAAAAUAGGACAACUGAUGGUAUGAGUAUGCAUCAACUACUACAGGAUACUCGAAAGCAUAACCCAAUCUCACUGAUUGACUCAAGGAUUCGAUCAAGCCUGCACCUACCUACUGCCACGACAUAACUUUUGUAGGUGGCCCGUUAAUAUAUAGGUUGCCCACCAAUGCUACUACAACAUCAACGCGAAAGUCAGACUCUGGAGCGGCACUCGAGGGUGGCGACUUCACUGAGUAAACAACGCAUAUCUUUAUCGAGCUCAAAUAUGGCUAAUGAAGGCUAUAGUCAAAGCAAUGAUCAACCAGAUUAUAAAGAAUACCAUUCACGUGUUCUCGACACAAUCUGGAAUGCAACUAGCCUAUCCAAACCACUGUAUUGACCCAUGACCCAAAAAAACAAGUCACUCCACUGUCACACUCAAUCUCACAAAUAACUCACUUACAACUUUGCAAAUAAUAGUAUAGUCACUAGCUGCUACGUGCUGACUGUGUUGGAAUUCUAUAAUGGUUCAUACAACAGGGAAUAAAUUAGAUUUCAGAUUAUAGCUAUUAGAACAAAGUUAGCUUCAGGUUAGCCUUUGAACAUCCAACCCUAUUUCUCUUCUAUUUCCUCCUCCCUCACUCUCCUUUUCCCUCUCUCCCUUAGAAGCUUCAGGUUAGCCUUUGAACAUCCAACCCUAUUUCUCUUCUAUUUCCUCCUCCCUCACUCUCCUUUUCCCUCUCUCCCUUAGAAGCUUCAGGUUAGCCUUUGAACAUCCAACCCUAUUUCUCUUCUAUUUCCUCCUCCCUCACUCUCCUUUUCCCUCUCUCCCUUAGAAGUAAAGGAGCCCUAAAAUCUGCAUUAUUGAAGCUUAGAGAUCCACCCCCUUGGGAGCUUUGGGAAGGUCAAAGGCAUCAAGAGGAAGCUUUUGGAGAGAGAAGAUGUCAACCUUACCGAUGUUUCUUGUGCUAGGAAGAGAAGCAGUGAGUUAAAAUUUUAGGGUUUAUUUUGAAGGUUUUCCCAAACCUAGGAUUUUUGGGUUCUAACUUGGUUAGAACUUAUUUUUGGCAUUUUCAUGUUAUUCUAAGGAGAUUAAGGAUCACCCCUUACAAAAGAUCUAAAAGAAGGUAGGAAAUAUCACCGAAAUGAGUUUGAUCUCCUCUUUUAUUUAAAGCUUUUUUGGUUGCAUACAUUUAUUAUGAGUCAUUUGUAAACUAAAGUGUAUUUUAGUUGCAUGCUAUGGGGAUCUAAUGGGUCAAAAUAGCAUGUCACGUCCUGAGCCCCUAGUUGGGCUAGCUUAGGCACACGCAACAGAGCCAUCGAAAGAGCAAGGCUUUCCUCACUGCAAGAAGCAAAAACAUACAUAAAUCUGUAGAAUAUAAUACAUGAUAUAGGUACAAUUGAGCAUCAGAGUAAUACUCCUAAAUUAAACCAUUACGGUUUGAAACUUCAUUAGAUUAUAACACUUUAAAAUUUACAUAUCAACACUCUCCAAAAUAAUAAAUAGUCUUGCUUUCUAUAGAAAGAGGUACUUUCAUCUAGACCGACUAACCACGGUCUAUCUAGCUCGUGACAUCUUUGCGGCCAUCACGGGCCUCGUCGAUGGUAGAGGGAUCUGAAAAGGUGUAAACAACAACAGGGUAGGAACUUUAGAUAAGUUUAUAGUGGGUGCAACCGCCGAAAGUGGCACUCCACCGUCACUUGGUCCAAGGGAGGCAUCAAUGGACAAUAAACAUAAAUAAUAUCUUUUUCUACAACAGAAAUGAAAGUAAAUACAACUAUUAGGCCUCAAAUAGGCAUACAAUAUGUCACCAUAUUAUCUCAUGCCGUUGGUUUUAUGUUUAACCCAACUAGUCUCAUGCCUGUAACCACCCACUUCAUUCGUUUCACUUUUCACUACACUCCACACGGAGAGUCAAAGGUUAAUAGCAUCCUUCCCACAGAUAAGCACUUGGCAUUGAAGGAGAUCGGCAUCACCAAGUAUAGUAGGGAGUCGAGAGGAUUGACAUCUCCCAAUUUGGAGUAAGGCAUUGAAGGGAAUUGGUAUCACCCAAUAUGAUACUUUCCAAAGGUCGCAAUUUAUAUCUUAAUUAAACACUAUGUUCUCAUGACUUCCAGGAUUGUCCACAAUGUCCACUUACAUGUGUUCUUGUUCUCUAGUUUUAAGUUUACCUACAGUUCCAUGCCUCUAUUGUCCUCACCUUAGGUUUCAACCUAGGUUAAAUGCCAUAUUUUCCUCAACCUAGGUUCCAUCCUAAGUUAUAUCUCACUAUCAUAUCACCUAUGUUCCAAGUUCAUAUAGCACUUUGUUUACAUGCAACAUGCACUUCCCCUUCACAUGGCAAAAGAUUGGAAACCCUUUUGUUUUCUAUGUCAAAGGCUCUUUAGCACACAUGAACUCUUAGAUCUCAUAACAUACAAAUUAAAGAUGCUAUUGUUUACUUUUACCUAUAAUAUAUGAAUAUGAAUAAAAAAAGGUUUUAGACAAAGAGGAGAUCUCAUUUCGAUGAUAUUCCCUAUCUCGGAUCUUCCUAAAGAAAUGCUCCUUGAUCUCUCAAGAACCCCAAGAAAACAUUAAAACUAGUUCUAACGAAGUUAGAACCUCAAAAUUCUAUCUUUUGGAGAAUAACCCCUAAAAUAACACCUACAAACACCAACUCACCUCUUUUCUCCAAAUAGGAGAAAUGUAGGUUGAGAUGGUUGCCUUCUCUCUUCAAAUACUUCUCCUUGAUACCCUAGAUCUACUCCAAACCUCUAGAGAGAUGGAUCCAAUAGAUCUCACAAGGGGACAGAGCUAUGGUUUCUCCUAUUUUUGAGAGAGAAAGAAGAGAGAGAGUUAGAGAGAAAUGUGUGAGAUUAGAGUUUUGGCUAUUGAAUGAGUAUUUAUAGAAGUUCUAUAAUUGCACUUUAACCCUCCAAAUAUUCCUAUUUGUAGCUGACCAAAAUCUGCUAUUCACAGAGUAUAGUAUCGUUAUGCGGAUUUCAAUAUCAGUACACAACUCAAAUGUCUCCACACUCCAGACCAAUUCCGCAGAACCCAAAUGUUGGUUUUCUUUAUUUUCUAUUGUGUAUCGGUACUCGUCCAUUUUAGUAUCAGUACUCAUCCAAUUUUUUAGUACCAGUACUCGGGACAAUUCCAUAUAGCCCAAGAGCUUUCCCGCCCUCCAUGCAACCGAAUACCGGCACUUCACUCCCGUACUGGUACUAUCGAUACUGGUACUCAAUGAAAAAUCUGUAGUUUGCAGAUGUGACUCUUCAACAUCUAUUUUCGCACUAUUUUUGUGCCGAAAAUACUCUAAUGCUUCCCAAACACCAUAGGGAUCAUCUAAAUAGUUUUCAUUACUAUUCUUCACCAAAACUCCGCUAUUUGUAAAAUUUCAAUACAUUACAUAGUAUGUGAGCAUUUGACCUAGGAAAAUAGGGUUUUAUCCCUUUAUUAUAUUACAAGAAAAUAUUUGACAUGUGUAUGUAAGUAUUAUGUGAACCAUCAAUAUAAGAAAUAAAUGUUGCAUUGAACUUAUGUUAUAGCUUAUGUCGUAAACAUAGUGACAUAUGGAUUCUAGGUAAAACUUGAAAUAGAAAACAAGAGAACAUGGAAAUGAACCAUAUGUAUCACCCCAGAGGUCAUGAGAAUUUAGAGUGUAAUAAUGAGAGAUGUUGCGAGCUUUUAGAAGUAUCAGACAGGGAGAUACCAAUCAUCCUCAACUCCCUAUGUUGCAUUGGGAGAUGUCAAUCACCCUCAACUCCCUAUGUAGUGCUUAGAGUGUUGAUCGUCCACGACUCCAAGUACCUACUGAUUGGAGAUAUGCGAUCUUUCUCGACUCUCUAUGAAGUAUGUAAUAAGAAAGGCAAAAUAAUAAGUUAGUUAAAGUUAACAAGUAAAUUGAGAUAAUAGUGUAGGCCAAUGACAAGAUAAUUGUCACGGUCUGGGCUCCAGCAGAAGGCUACUCAGGAUGUGCAUAGAUCCACCGUGUGCACAAGGUACUUUCGGUGCACACAAGGUGUCUAUAACAAACAAUGCAGAAAAGAGAUAUAUACACAUCCUAAAUAAGGUGAUUUGAGCAUAUAAGCAUAAACUAAACUAACACAAGAUGUAAAACCCUAUACUUUUAAACCUCUUGUUUUGACUCCUAUUUUAUUAAGUUUGGACCUUUUCGUAAUUUUCAAUCUUUGAGGGACUCGGCGGCAUUUUGUUACCUAAUUAGUACCUAAAUUAAUUUACCCUAGACAACCCUCACCCGAUCUCUUUUUCCCCUCCCGUACGAUUCUCUCUCUCUCUCUUCUCUUUCACCGCGUCCGUACGUCUCUGCCGCUCCGCACGUGCGCGCGCGACGCUAUCCGAUCCCUACCGUCGUCGCCGUUAUCCGUGGCCGCCGUUGCCGCAACCCUUUUGUUUGAUCUCUAUCGGCAUUUUUGGUUCGUCGUUGACGGUAUCUCGUCAUUGUCGUCUCCGUCUUUGAAGAGGUUCUUUUUUUUUAAUCUCUUUUAUCUCUUUCACUAAAUCUUGAGAUCAUCCAACCUCCUUGUUCAUGAUUAUAUGAUUGUUCUUGAAUACUUAUCUAUUGAUGAUUGGAUUUAAAACUAUCAAAAUCUGAUUUGCUUUGAUCUAAAUAUGUGUUAUUUGAACUAUCAUUUUAUCUUGUAUCCCUAUCUUAUUUAGUUAUAUAAAUUUUUCAUAUUCUACAUACUUCUUGUAAUGCUCCUUGCAUGUUCGAUAAAAUGCCUAAGAGAGGGCGAACCUUAUUUUUGUUUCUAAUUUCGAUCCCAUCUAAUUAUAAAUUGUCAAUCAAUGUUUCAACAUCUGAAAACCCUCUUUUCGAGCAUUAGAUCCUUCGUUUAUUAUUUAAAACUUCAUUCAUCUUAUCUUGUUUCUUUGAAUAUUUUAAUCCUCGAAACUCAUCAUCCUCUUGAUUGCUAAUUGAGUUUCGUCGAAUGUAUUAUUCUAAAUCUCUUUCGUGCUCCGUCUUGACCUUUUUGCAUGCAUUUGUAGCCGACAUUGUCGACCUAUGUGAACCUAUCCGAGUUCAGAUUUUUGUAUAAGCUUGCCUUCUAAAUGUAUAUGUAUAUAUAUAUAUAUUAUUUUUGUAACUUUAUUUUUGAGUAGCUUAUAGAGAACCAUAUAUCUCUAUUUUAGGUUCCAACGAUUGAUUUUUGUGCGAUUUUCGGCUGGAUAGCUUCUUAGCUUAGAAGCCGCUUUUGAGAUAAGCGACCGGACACCCAUUAGUUUUUCGCUAAAUAAUUUAGAAAAAUACUUUGAUUGUGUGAAAAUCUUUAUUUUGUAGAUUUUAAAAUUAAGGGUCAAGCAUAUAUUAAAUAUUUCUGUAAACUAAGUUUCAACUGUGAUUGAAAGAUUCUUUUAACAAAAGAAAUUUGAAAUUUGAUAAUCUGUUCGGUAAGUUAGUGACUGGAUAAUUUUAAAUUAUAAUGUCUCUUGGUAUUCUGCUAUGCUAAUGUUGGCCAUGUCGACAUGUAUUUUGUUAUAGAAGCGAGCUUCGUCUUUGUAUUGCGCCUUCGGGUGCCUGCUCCCAUCUGUGCCUCUAUUUUGUUUAUGCCUUCGGGUGCCUCUAUUUUGUACAUGCACUUUCGGGUGCCUCUGUUCUGUUUGCACCUUCGGGUGCUUCUGUUCUGUUUGCGCCUUCGGGUGCCUCUGGAUCUCGCCAAUGGAUCAUAUGAUAUAGUUAGUUGCCGGAGACUUAAUAUUUAUUUCGUUUAUACGUUGAAAGAGAAAUGCUUUGUAAAGUUAUAGUUUCAAUCCGAUCUGAAUUUUAAGUUUGAUAAUUCUUAUUUUCUGAAAUUUUGUAAAUUAAAAACCAGUCACUUAAAUUAAUUUUUGUAUUUAUUUAUUUAUAUGCUUAAUCCGACUAAUGUGGUGUAUGGUUGCUUACCCAGGUACCGAGACUAAUUUACCGGGCAGGGCUGAGAUCGAGUAAACAUUAGACGUAGCUAGUUUUGAUUUUUAGUUCCUUUUGUUUUUACAUAUAGUAUUUUCCGAUGUGAAUCGUUGGACUUCAUAAAUGAUCGUUUGUUAUUUGCUUUUAUUUCGUUAUUUCUUCGUACCCACUUUUAUUACUUAUGAUAUUUUGUGGACCGAAUCUCUUUUGUGAUUCGUAGUAAGCUUAGUUUUAUAGAUGUUAGAAUUCCGUUUGAUUUUAGUUAAAAUUCAAUUUCUUAGUCCCAUCUUAUGAUUCUUUGGAUUUAGUAGAAAAUGGUAAAUCAUCUUUAUGCUAGUUUCCGUCUGAUUCUGUAGCAUUGCAUAUUUGCUAGUUUAGCCAGUAUGCGGCGUCCGUUACGCCUCGGGUUUGGGGCGUGACACAAGAAUAGUAACCACAACUAUCCAAAUCAUAAGAUUUACAAAAUGAUUGUCCUCUCAAAAUAAUAUAUCUCAUGAACAUAAGGUGGCCACUACAAAAGUAUAAGUACACCUCUCACAACAAAAGCUAAAAGAAAGGUGCCUCGGGUCCACCUUUGGGCACUCGACCAGUAUGCACUAGCUAGACACGUACCCUUACCGCGAUUCUUAGCCUCUCCCACAUAUGGAAGGCUCUAAAAUGAAAACCAACAACCAAUAAAGGUAAGAAUUAUUAAACAAUAGUUUCCAAUUGGUAAGACGCUGAGAGAGGCGAAAUACACUAGGUCAACUGAGACAUAAAUAAUAUAACUACGAAAAUGAAAAGCAAAUAUAAAUAACUAAGAUGAAGUAGCUCUCUUACUAUCAUGCCUCUAUGCAACUAUAUCAAUCAACAUGUAUGUAGCUCUACUACUAGCGAGUAUACAAGUAUAUAAUAAGAUCUACUUGUUGCUACUAGAUCAGUAAACAUGUAUGACUAAUACUAUGUAUGCAUCAACUACCAUGAUGUCCAAUAUCAAAUUGAUUUAACUUUUACCCAAUGUCGAGGACUUACACAAGGUAACGUCCCCGCUUGCGCCGUCCAUAAUGGUCCCAUAGUAGUCAAUGUUCCUCCUCUAGGAAUAAGACUCCCCCACGGCGUCCUAUUUUGACGCCCAAUCUCGCACGGCGAGCCGUCAUGUCUAAACUUCGGAGUGUCGGCUUACAGGGAACGACCCUCAAAAGCAUAUGCAAAUAAGUAUAAGGGCAAGAAGGUGUAGUCGCAUAUGUCAUGUCAAAGGACAUAGAGUCUCAAUAAUUAUGUCUAAAAUAUGAUAUCUCAAUUUUUGACCCCUAUAUCAGAUACAAUGUUACAUAUGUCAUAAUCAAUGCCUCAACUUAUUUGAAGGAGAAUUCCUAUCAUUGUUACAACGUAUCUCUAACAUGCAAGAAUUACACAUUUCACCUUAACUAUAGCAAGUAUAAACGAUAAAUUACUCGUCUCAAUCAGAUGAUUGUACUUAUCAAUGAAGCUCAAGCAUAAAAGUUAUAUGCCACAUAUAUCCCAACUCUACUAUAACAUGUGUAGGAAUAAAUUACUCAUGCCACAUCCAAAUGAGAUGUAUAACUAUCAACUAAACUCAUAUGCAAUGCCAUGCAUGUACUCUACUAUAUAUGUCUCUACUACAUAGAGAAUAAAAAUCACAAUGCAAGAAGUGGCCAAACCACAUGCUCAUAAAUUCAAUGAUAUCAUGAAUUGUAUGCUAGAACAUCUGUUAAGCCCUAUGAAACUAUAGAAGACAUAGGGGGAGUUCAUUAAUUUCGGUGAGGUCAAACCCACCGGAUAGUCACCAAGACUUGAUCAAUCCCCAAAUCAAAGUUGCCUCAUUGAUUUUUUUUGUAUCCUACAAAAAAAUUCAAGGGGUUACAAACGUCCAAAAAUCUCAUCACGAAAUUUACCAAAAAUCACAAGAAAAAUAGGUGAAAUGUAUCUUAACCAAGAAAACCUUGUCCAAGCGCCAAAUCAAAGCAAUAGAGCUUAAGUUCCAAUCUAUAAGAGUGUUCUACACUCAUCAAUUUCAACCCAAAAGCCCACAUUUGAAAUUUUCAAAAUAAAUCCUAGUUUUUAUAAAAUUAGGUUUUCUACUAAAAUCUUCACAAAUCUCUCAACUAGAGAAUGACGAAAGGUUACUAACCUUGAUCAAAGCUCCAAUCCAACAUUAAAAUGCUAGGGUUGAAGUCUAGGGCUCUAAAUAACUCUCUUCUUCAAGUCCAAGCCUCACUCCAAGCUCUUGGUGCAAGCAUCCACGGAGGAGAUGAAGGAAAGAAGAGGAAUCUAAAGAUUAAAAUAGAUUGGAGGAGAAAAUAUUCCAAGAAAAAAAAUGAGAGAAACUCACCUCUUUCUUUUCUCUUGCACCUUCCAAAUGAAGGGGAAACAAGGGAAAUGAAGGGCCUUAAAGCAUGUAGCAACAAUAUCCACUUAGGACCCUCAAAGAGUAAGAAAUUAUUGCACAAUAGUCCCAGACUAUAGAGGGACCGGUCCCUGUAGGAAGGUCCAGUUCUCGAAGUGUAUACUUCCAGUCUACGCAGCCAAAGACCGAUCCUUUCCUCAAGGUCCGAUCUUUGAUCUUCGGAAUAGUAUUUUGCAACAUCAAAGUUUGGUCCUUCUAGUCAAGGUCCGGUUCCCGAGACUCUGAAAGCUCAGGUAUGGUUUGUUCCAAAAAUUGAGUUUUCAUGCUAUUUCACACUAAAAAUAUUCUAACACCCUCCAAAAACUACCGAAAUCAUCUGGAUAGUACCAAAUACUAUCUCACUCACUAGAACUCUGCAAUUUGCGAAAGUCUAGUGUGCUACACCUCCCCUCCUAAAAAAGAGUUUUGUCCGUAAAACUAAAGGACAAAUACCUAAAUCCUACAUCUGAAAUAGAUGAGAGAAGUGUUCCUGUAGCACACUGUCCAGCUCCCACAUAGCCUCGUGUUCCUCGUGGUUGCUCCAAAGCACCUUUACAUAAAGUAUCGCGCGAUUCCAAAGUUUUCUCACCUUGUAAGCUAAAAAUCCACACCAGAUGCUCCUCGAAGCUCAGAUCCUCUUGUAGCUCUAACGGAGCUAAGGCCAUCACGUGAGAUGGAUCGAUCACAUACUUCCGAAGUGUCGAGAUAUGAAAUGCAUUGUGUACUCCAAUAAGUUCAGUAGUAGAGCAAGCCGAUAUGCCAUCGGACCAACACGCUCCAAAACCUCAAUGGUCCAAUAAAUUGAGGGCUUAGUUUUCAUCGAAUUCCAAAUCUCUUGACUCCUCGAGUCGGCGAUACCUUUAAGAAGGCAUAAUCUCCUACUAGAAGUUCCAAUUCACGCCGACGCUUAUCAGCAUAACUCUUUUGUCGACUUUGUGCUAUAAUCAAUCAUUCACGAGCGAGUUGAACCUUGUCCUUGGCCUCUUGAAGUACAUCAAGGCCCAAAACUAGUCUUUCAACCACCUCACUCCAAUGUAGAGGUGAUCGGUACUUUCUUCUAUAAAGAGCUUCAAAUUGUGCUAUCUUAAUACUUGCUUGAUAACUAUUGCUAUAAGCAAACUCCGCUAUGGAUAGGUGUUGAUGCCAACCACUCUGAAAAUUCAAAACACAUGCUCAGAGCAUGUCCUCCAAAGUCUGAAUAGUAUGCUCUGACUGCCCGUCGCUCUUAGGGUAGAAAGCAGUACUGAAAUCCAAUCAUGUGCCUAGUGCCUCAUGAAGAAUCCUCCAAAACUAAGAUGCAAACCUCGGAUCUCGAUCUAAUAUAAUAGAAGUAGGCACUUCGUGAAGUCGCACAAUCUUAUCGAGAUAUUCUUGGGAGAGUUUUUCUCUAAACCACGUAGUGUGAAUAGGAAUAAAAUGCACUAAUUUCGUCAACCUAUCCACAAUCACCCAAACAGCAUCAUACCCGGCUUGAAAGCGAGGCAAACCCAUAACUAAAUCCAUGGUGAUUCUCUCCCACUUCCACACGAGAAUAGGUAAACUUUGCAACUUGCCCACGAAAAGUUGAUACUCGGUCUUCACUUGUUGGCAUGUCAAAUAGUGUCACAAACUUUCCAACAUCCUUUUUUAUGCCGGGCUACCAAUAAAGCAACUUUAAAUCUUUAUAUAUCUUGGUGGCCCUCGAAUGAAGUGAAUACGUUGCUCGAUGCACCUCCUUCAAAAUUUUCUCUUUUAUCUUUGUAUCCGCUGGUACACAAAGUGAGCCUCAAAACCAAAGUGCAUCGUGAUCAUCCACCUGAAACUCACCGGCGCAGCCUUUAUCGAUACUAGAUCGAAUUUUUUGCAUAUUAGGAUCUUGAACUUGUUUCACCUUGAUUCUUUCCAUCAAGGUUCGUUGCAACACUAAUGCCAUCAACCUCUUGGGUGCCACAAUCUCCAACUCUAGCUGUCUCAUCUCUUCAAGUAGCGGCAGCUGGGUAGUGAUCAACAUCACAAAGUUCUCCACCAAUUUGCAACUUAGGGCAUCUACCACAAUAUUAGCUUUUCUUGGGUGGUAGAGAAUAGUCAAAUCAUAAUCCUUGAGUACCUCCAACCAUAGUCGAUGCCUCAAGUUUAAUUACUUCCGAAUAAAGAUGUACUUCAAACUUUUAUGAUCAGUAAAUAUCUCACAAUGCUCUCUAUACAAAUAGUGUCGCCAUAGCUUUAAAGUAAAAACUACGGCCUCCAACUCCAAAUUGUGAGUGGGAUAAUUUCUUUCAUAAUCCUUCAAUUGACGAGAGGCAUAAGCAAUUGCCUUCUCAUUUUGCAUUAAAACACAUCCCGACCCACUAAAGGAUGCAUCACUGUACACCACAUGUCCGGCAUAUAUAAUAGGCAAAGCCAAAAUUGGGGCGGUUGUCAACUGUGUCUUUCAAUUCCACGAAGCUUCUCUCACACACAUCAUUCCAAACGAACUUGAUUCCUUUAUGUGUGAGUCGAGUAAGAGAAGUAAAUAACUUAGCAAAUCCCUCAACGAACUGCCUAUGGUAUCAGGCUAAAUCGAGAAAACUCUGAAUCUCGUUGAUAUUAGGUGGUCUAGGCCAAUUCUUAAUUGUCUCAAUUUUCUUAGGAUCCAUAGCUAUAUUAGCCUUUGAUAUAUCAUAUGUUCCAAGUAUGCUCGCUCUCGUAGCCAAAACUUACACUUCUUUAAUAUGGAGAAGAGUUUCUUUUUUCGAAGUAUUUGCAAUCCUUUUCUCAAAUGAUCUUCAUAUUCUUUAUCACCUCGAGAAUACACCAAAAUAUCAUCGAUAAACACCAUAAUGAAUCUAUCCAAAAAAGGCUUAAAGAUAUAGUUCAUCAAAUCCAUAAAUAUUGCAGGGGUAUCAGUGAGCCCAGACGGCAUAACGGUAAACUUUUAAUGUUCAUAUCAUGUCCAAAAAGUCGUCCUAGGGACAUCCUCAGGCUUAAUCUUAAGCUGAUGAUAACCAGAUUGCAAAUCAAUCUUUGAAUACACUUUUGACCCUUGGAGUUGAUCGAACAAAUCAUCAAUUCUUAGCAAUUGAUAUUUAUUUUUAAUCGUGACUUAAUUGAGUUCAUGAUAAUCUACACAUAAUCGAAACGAUCCAUCCUUUUUCUUAAAAAAUAAAAACUGAUGCUCUCCAAGGGAAAACACUAAAGCCUAAUGAAGCCUUUCUCCAACAAAGCCAGUAAUUGGGCCUUUAGCUCCUUCAACUCCGCCAGCGCCAUUCUAUGAGGUGUCUUUGAGAUUGGGGUAGUUUCAAGAAUAAGAUCUACAACAAAUUCACUCUCUGUCAUGAGGCAUACCUAGCAACUCCGCCGGAAACACGUGCACAAACUCCUUUGUUCAAGAAUAAGAUCUACAACAAACUCGAUCUCUGUUAGGAGGCAUACCUGGUAACUCUGCCAAGAACACGUCCACAAAAACUCCCUCACAAUCGUGAUAUUUUCAACCCUCGGAGUCUCACCACUUCUAUCUACAACGGUAGUCAAGAAGACUACGCAUCUACCCUUAAUCAACUGUUUAACUCAUGGAUAGGAAAAAGCUUACCUGUCCAGCAAGUCUAUUGCACGUGCCCGAACAAGUCCAAUUGGCGAGACUCGGGCAUGACAACCAUGAUUUGAAAAUGAUAUGUUAAGUCAGGAUCAGAAUAACAAGACUAGUGAGAGGAAACUCACAUCAUCUGGUGCUUGUGAAUGUUCUUGAUGUGAACAAGAAUAUCAGAGAUUAAAAGGUGAAAGAAUAUGAUACCUUCGGGAUUUAAAAUAAUCCUAUAUAUAAAGCAUAAUAGAACUAAUCUCUUAAUCUCGUUAUACCAUUUUGGGUGAUGACUAAGCCUAAGAGGCUAAAAGGAUUAAGCAUGUUAGAACUAAAAUCGUUUUAGAAUGGAUGACCCCUUUGAAAAGCGGGGCAUCACAUAUCAUUAUACCUACAAUAUGGACCAUAAAUGCCCAAUCCAACUACAUAAACGGAAGGAUUUUUAAUUACAAAACGUCAGUUGUUUUAACUUCAAAUUUUAAACUACUCAUGACCAUUCUAAAAAUCAAGGCACCGUAAAGACCUUUGAGAGAGUGCAGUUUUAUUUUGAGAAAUAUUAUCUAUACACUAUAUAGGGGCGUAUAUCUUCCACUCUUACAUCAUAUUAAUAAUACCUCCAUAGAAGUUUAGUGAAUUAAAAAAAUUAUAAGAUAAAUGACUUAAUAUAAACCAUAAUAAAUUAAAAUGUAAUAUUUACACUUAAACUAUUAUAAACCAUAAUAAAUUAAAAUGUAAUAUUUACACUUAAACUAUAAAUAAGGGUAUGAAUAGCGUGGCUCUUUUAUUUUAUCUUACUGCAGGUAUCAAGAUGCCUAUUCACAUCACAUUUGGUUUUAUAACCGGUUUGGCAAUUAACCAAUAAUAAUAAUCAAUACAUAUAAUAAAAGGGCAACCUUAAAGUACCACGCGUCGCCUCCCCAGCAACCCCCCCUCCUUCUCGGUUCCCAGGGAGGGGCGGGCUCUCUCUCUUUUUUUCUCUUUCUCUCUCUCCCUCCCUCUCCCUCUCCCUCUCCCUCUCCCUCUCCCUCUUCCUCUCUCUCUCUCUGUGCUCGCAUGCCCGCCCCUCCUCGGGUUCGACCACAUGGCAGGGUGCCUCCCCCCCCCCAAGCUCUGUCUCUGUCUGUCUCUCUCUCUCUCUCUCUCUCUCUCUUCUUCUCUCUCUCCUCUCUUCUUCCUCUCCCCACCACCCCCCCCGAUCUCUCUCUUCCCUCCCACCCCCCCCCCCUUCCGGCUCUCUCUCUCUCUCCCCUUCUUUUCCUCCCCCUCUCCCGCGAGGGCGGCGAGGUCGCGGGGCAGGCGCGGGCGCGGGCAAGCGGUCGCGCGGGUCGUGUGCUGCGUCGGCUCUAGCGCGGGGCCGGCAGGCGCGGAGCGCGGGGCUCUGAGAGGGCGUGUGGGGAGCGGGCGGCACGGGCGUGCGGGGAGCAGGCAGCGCGGGGGCCCAGUGCGGGGGCCCAGUUCUUUUUCCUUGUGGGACCCACUCCUCUGUCUCUCUCUGUUUUACUUUCCUUUUUUUUCCCUUUUUUCCUUUCCUAACACUCCUUUUAGAUGUCGUUGGAUGCAUACAGAAAAUUUUUAAACUUAAAUUAAAUUAAAUUAAAUUUAAUAAUAAUAAAAACCCCAAGCCCUAAGGAAUAUAAUCACCGAAAUAUUUUUUAUUUUGGAGAAGAAAUAAUUUCGUAAAUACCUCCCUUAUGUACUAUAAUAUCGCUAAUAGCUUCCACAAUUUAAUAAUAUCACAUCACGCAUGCUUUCUUAAAUAGUCACAAAUAUCACAAACAUAUCUGGUGAUUAAACUCCGCUCAAAAUAGCCAUUAUAACUAGAACUAGGCUAAUAUACUAUUAAUAGUACCAAGUCAUUGGUGCUUCCAAGUUUUUGGCUAUUGGAUUAAGAGAUGUGCGGUUAGAAUGAUGUGGGCUCCCUAAGGUUGAGUGGGUGGUUGGUUGAAUAGUAUGAUCUAACGGGUGAAAAUGAUCAAAAAGGGUAGAUUUAACGGCGAAAAACUUGGUAGUACCAAGUGCUUCGUACUAUUAAUAGUAUAGUAGCCGGACUCUUAUAACUACAAAAUUCUCAUUUAACCCUUAUCCAUUGUAUUGUUAAUAACCCUUAAAUUUUCUGUCGGCUCACAUUCAAAACUUUUUUUAAAAUGUCUCUAAAUUUUUACUGAUAAUUUUCACCAUCACGCAUACAUCAAAUGAAUAAUUUAAAUUUAAAGAUUUGAAUUUAAAUUUUAAACUGUAUUCAAAAUUUGAAAUAAAAUUUCAAGUUGAUUUCAAAUCUAAGUUUGAAUUUGAAUAUCAAUUUCAAAUUCAUAUUUUGAUUUUGAAUUUCAAAAGAAAAUUUUGAAAUUAAGUCUAAAAAUAAUUCAAAAUCUAGAUUUGAAAGUAAAAUUAAGUACAAAAUCUCAAGUAGGUCAAACUAACGUUUCUCUCCUCAAAAGAGUAAUAGAUAGAAAUCAAAAUUGAAUUUCCAUCUAAAAUUUGAAUCCCAAAUUUAAAAUUUAAAUUCAAAAAUAAAAUUCAAAUUGAAAGUUAAAUUUGAACAAAUCUAAGAUUAAAUUUUUAAAUCCAAAUUUGAAUUAAAAAAUUCUAAUUAUAACUUUUAAAACUACUUAGGAGUAAAAUUAAUAUUUUAAUUAUUUAAUAAUAAACUAGCCAAGAAGUAAGAUUAGGUUAACAGUGUGCGUUACAGUAUUUAUAAUAUAUAACUCAAUAUAUUGAAAGAGCCAUACAAAGNCAAAUUUGAAUUAAAAAAUUCUAAUUAUAACUUUUAAAACUACUUAGGAGUAAAAUUAAUAUUUUAAUUAUUUAAUAAUAAACUAGCCAAGAAGUAAGAUUAGGUUAACAGUGUGCGUUACAGUAUUUAUAAUAUAUAACUCAAUAUAUUGAAAGAGCCAUACAAAGAUAAUUUAAUAUUUUUAAAGACAUUUAAAUAUUUUUCCAGACAUUUAAAAUAAUUUUCAGCUUUUGUGUAGUUAUGAAAUUGACCCUUUCAAAAAAACCAAUAACGGUGACAAUAUUUAACGUGACCUUGUGUAGGUCUUAUUUUACUUUAUAGGACCUCUACAGCUUUCUAUCAAAAGAAAAGACCCAGAUUGUUGUUUCAUCGUUAAGAUAAUAAAUUCUUUUUACUUCACUUCUUCCAUUCGGGAGAAUCAACAGCUAAGAACACUAAAAAAGGGGGUCGAAAAAAAAAAAACAAAACAAAACAAAACAAAACAAAACACAAAAAGGUACUUUAGCUUGCUCUCGAUGAAAAUACAACUUGUCAGAUAUAAGCUCAGAAACGACUUGAUAAGACCAAAGAGCAUAACAACGGUUCAGCAGUAACACAAGUCAAAAAUGUUCAGAACAGGGGGGAGGCGAAGAAAAGCCGCAGCAAAAGAUAAUAACAAUAAAUUCUUCCCCUAUUAGGCACCGAAAAAUAAAGCUCGAUCAGAGAACUAUUUCACUUGAUCUUCUUCUUAGGUCUCAGCUGGAGAAAAGGAAAAUAUAUUUGAUCUGAUCAAAAAGGGCAAACAAAUGAGUCGUACACAGCAGAUCAGAAGAAAGAAUAGUAACUAAAAAGGCCAAACUAGACUCUUCAAACAAGCGUAAUUCUUUCGGUAGAAAGAUCAUGGAGAACUCUAAAAGCACACUUCGCAAUGUAAACAUACACUUAUGGGAAAAUUUCCUCACUACCCUUCCAAAUAGCUCUAAUAUCAUAAAUACCCUUUAAAAUUUUGAAAUUUCAUAUUUGCCCUCAAAAAACAUAAAAAUUUUCAAAAAUGCCCUUAUAACUAUCAUUCCGUCGUGUUUAGGCAUAACAGAUUCAAAAUACCGAAUUUACCCUCCAAUGUAUUUUCAUCAAUACCCUCACAAAUUUUCUAAACAUUACAAAAUAACCCCUUAAUUUGAUAUUUUUGAUCAAAGUCUUCUUAAUAUUUUGUUCCUUGAAAUUGGAUUGAUUUUCGUCAAUUAAAUUACAAAUUUUAUCAACCCAUUGAUGGUUCCAACAAAUUUAAUAAUUUUAAUUACUUCGUAGAAGUUAAAAUAAAAAAAAAAGAUAAUAUGUAAUAGCUAACAGAGCAAUUUAAGUUAAAUAAAAUUUUAAAUGUAACUAACUAAAAUAAAUAAUUAAUAAAAGUUAAGAGCUAAAUAGUACUAAAGAAUAUCAGCGAACAAUGUUUGUUUAGAUGUUAAACAAAUAAUGAACAAAAGUUAGGGGUUAAAUAGUAAAUCAUAUAAUUAAUAUACCCUUCAAAAAUUUCUCAACUCAUGCACAAAAUAAACAUUUCAAAUCUUAACCACUAUUAGACCACCAACUCACUAAAAUUAAUAUGACCUGAAGAGACGGAAUAUACGGUGAGAGUAUUUUUGAAAGAAAGUAUGUAUUUAGAAAAGUGAUUAUGAUAUAACAAAAUUUAUAGGGGUAUUUAUAAUAUUUCUAAAAUUUAGAGGGGUACGGAUGAAAUUAACCCUUCAAACAAAUAGUGAACAAAUUAAGGGUAAAAUAGUAAUUUCAUAUUUUAAAGUAGAAUUAAAAAAAUGCCAAAAUGACGGAAGUUAGUGAAAAUUAACGGUGGGGGCAUUUAUGAAAAAAUAUUAUAUUUAGAGGGGCAUUUGUGAAAUUUAAAAAAUUCGAAGGGCAUUUAUGAUAUUUCAUAACUUUGUGAGGGUACGAAUGAAAUUAACCCUACACUUAUUAUUCUUAGGGAAAACUUCAAAUACCCCCUUGUGGUUUCACUUUUUCUAACUUUAGUACCCUGUGGUUUAAAGUGUAUCAAGUUAGUACCCUGUGGUUUUGCACUUUAUCACUUUAGUACCCUGUGGUUUAAAGUGUAUCAAAUUAGUACCCUAUGGUUUCGCACUUGCUCACUUUAGUACCCUGUAGUUUAAAAACCACAGAGUACUAACUUGAUACAAAAAUAAAACCACAGGAUACUAACUUGAUACAAAAAUAAACCACAGAGUACUAACUUGAUACACUUUAAACCACAGGAUACUAAAGUGAGAAAGUGCGAAACUACAGGGUACUAACUUGAUACACUUUAAACCACAGGGUACUAAAGUUAGAAAAAGUGAAACCACAAGGGGGUAUUUGAAGUUUUCCCUUAUUAUUAUACAUGAAAAAGGCAGUAGAAGAAAUGGGGCCCCAAAAGGUGGUAAACAUUUUCCUCUGAGGUUAAAAUGCAUGGAGAACCACCUUCAAGUACAGGCCAUUUUAAAAUGUAUGGAGACCCACCAAGUAUUAACAACUUUCUUUGUCUUAAUACGAGUAAUUUCUAUAUGAAAAAUGAAAAUAUAUGUCAAGUUUGAUAGCACCUGAAUAAAAUUCAGCGGCCCUAUCCAAUUUUAGGUGUCUAAACAGCAGGUUUCAGUAGCUAAACUUUUUUAUAUUAAUGUAAUUACCAAUCCCUCUAAUGGAAAAAAACCCAAAACAAACACAUGUUUAGAGGGUAUCAAAUAGAGAUGGUUGAUACUAUUGAGGCGGCCUCCAUACUCUUUUUUUCUUUUCCUUUUUAACCAUUAUUAGAGAAGGACCUCACCUGAUUGCUGUGGCCGCAUUUCUUCUUACGACAAUUAACAGCUCGCGGGUGUAACCGCGCAUAGCAUCUGUAGAAGAAAAACUUUUUCCUAUCAGCUCUGAAAUCACAAAAUUUAGAUGAAGGAAUUUACAAUGUGUUAAUGAUUUGCACCGGGUAAAGAACUAUGUUGAUCUUAGUGGCAAACAAGUACAAUACAGCGAAGAGAUACAAGUUAAGACUCUUGAUAUGGAGCUGCAGAGUAUUAAGUUUUCUAUUUAGGAGGAUUCUUUUCAUAUCACACGUAACAAAAUUACGGUUAACCCUAAUUUGAUCCUUCAAGGCUUUAACUUUGACCUUCAUAUUUAUUUCAGACGCAUAGAUUCAAUUAUAAAAUUCUUGUUCCUUAACUUUGUUAUGCAUAACAAUUAAGUCCUUUGGCAAGUAUACUAUAAUGAAAAGCUGAAAGACCAGCACUAAAUUAGUGACAUGUUAAAACAUAAAACUUGAGGAGAAAAAUAAAAAAAGGCUUUACAGGCCAGAAAUCUGGAACUGAAUUGUUAAAAUAGAAAUAACAAAGAUGCAAUUGAAAUUAGCAUAAUCUAAGGAUCAAAGCUCGGGCCAAAUUUCAGGGCCUAUACAUUUUGUAAUUAACCAAAAAUCAAAGGCAACAAUUUCAACUGUAGAAACUCACAAAAUAAAAAAAAAAAUUAAAUAAAUAAAAAAACUUAAAAGGGCUUCGUGCCACGGAGGCAUUAUGCAUUAGAAAGUGCAUCCAACAAAUCAUUUCUCCGACAAACAAGAUAUAAGAGUAUAAGACACACAAAGGUAUAUUUAAAACAGUCAAUACGGCAUCUUUAAGUUUAUUACAGAUGGAAUGAACCAAAAACUAAUAAUCUUAGAAUUGGUAUGCAAACCCUAACGAAAUCAACACAUCUCAUAAAAUCGGAGAUUUUGUAUACCUCAAAGAGCAGAAAUAAUAGUUAAGAAAUUGGCAGGUCAGAAAUUUUAAUAUGCCUCAAAGGUUUAGCUCAUAAGCUAUACUUCGCACAUCUAAUUGAUUCAUCCCUCCUGCCAAAAUAAAGACUCUUCGAUUGUUUGAAAGUAAAGAAAAUUUAGCUUACCUUGUAGGAACAUAAAUAUCCUACAACUGAAAUAUUUAAUCAUUUCAUUCGUUUUAGCACCUAACAAUCUUCCUAAUACAACCCAAAUCUCAAAUCCGUCUAACAUAGCUAAAGCAAUUGAUGCAAUAGAUCAUAAAAUCCCCUCGAUUAAUUUCUAAAGAAAUUGAUGCAACAGAUUAUAAAUCUCCUUGUUUAGGAAGUCAUUACUUUCCAUUAAUCAGAUAAGUGAAGCAAAAUCAUCAACUAGUGUAUUUCUUAUAUUUGAAAGUUAACCGUAAUUACUACUAUUAUCUUUUAGCAUUUAAAUAAUGAGAUUUAAGCUACAUGAACAGCGAACGCCUAGUUAAUCUUGAGUUAAGUAGUAAUUCCAAGAGUCCAGUGCAUUAUAUUUUCAUUCGAUUGAGAGAUAUAUAAUACAUGUUCUACCGGUGAAAAUCAACUGCAAUAAAAAUGAAAAGCAGAUGACAAAGUCAAAGGUAGACUCAAUUUCUGGCACCAUGGGAACCCUAUGGCACAUUAUUGGUCAUAGAGGCGAUAACCCACAGCUCCAAUGUUGAUUAGUUUUCUUUUCCCUUCUCUACCGAUUUCUCACAUUAUCAAGAUAAUUUGGUGUAAAGAAAAUAGAAAAAAAAUCCAAAUAUCAAUUAUUCUUAGAAGAGGUUAAGAAAAUAAAGAAAUAAGCCGUGAUUGAGAUGGAAUACUUUCUACAGAUCAUCUUGUCCUGGUUGUACUUCCGGGCAAGAGCCAUAAGCGAGGGCUCAAUGAUCCCACCUCUCAGCCUCAGCACCAAAUGUAGUGUAGACUCUGUUAUUAUUACCAAAAUACAGAGUACAUUACUCACAAACCUAACCAAAAAAAAAAAGAAAAACCACAAAAAAAAAAUGGUAAAAUGUAUGAGCGGUCUCAGCACCAUGCCAAAUUGCUUAGUCAUUAUCAAGGAUUAAAGUGCCGUGGCAUAGGGUCGUGCCGGAAACUUGCCGGCAUGGUACGGCAUGAUGCGUGCCGAGCCGUGCCUGUCAAAAAAAUUCUUAUAUGCCGAUACAUAAUAACAUGAAAUAUUUAUUUUCUUUAGCAACAAAAUAUUCUAACUAUUAAUUAUGUCUUUUUAUCACAUCUUUUGAACUUUAUUGAGGAAAUUACUUACUAAUUUAAAGAAUAGAGGGUUUUGAGCUGUGCCAUCGACACGAGGUCUGUAUCGUGCCGGUAUUUUGUUGGUACGGUACGGCACGGUGGAUACGGCCCGUACCGACGGGCACUUCGGUACGGGCACUUAAAACUGUGGUCAUUAUAUGUUUCAGUUAAACAUGUUAGUCGACUUUCAUAUUUAUUGCACUUCAGUUCUUGACCAUUAAGAAAGUUCAACUUUUUAUCACAAAAUAACCCUGAUUGAAGUAAAUUGUGAACAAGUGAGUCAUUUUUUUAGUUGGAGUCAAAUGACUAUUUCGUAAGAAAAGAUAGCUUUGAUUUUUUUUUUUUUUUUUGUUUUUGGGGGUGAAGAAUCGGAGACUACAUUACAAUGUAUGGCAAAGUACCAGAAAGUCAUUUUUGCAGGUUAAGGAAUAAAAUGGUCAUUUUGUAAGGAAAAAAUAGAUCUUUUCCCCCCCGUGGUAAUGACACUACUUAACACCCGAAUUUUUUAUGAGAUUCCUUUAGUCACGAAACUUAGCUUUUCCAACCGAGGCAUUAAACUUUGAUUUUCAUUUCAUUCAUGUCACUUCUCUAAUUUGGAUUUUUUUUUUUUUUCCGAUGAAGCAAUGAUGUGGCAGCUAAUCGAAACAACUGCAGGAUUAAAGAGCAAUAUACGCCAAAAAAAGUAUGUUUAUGAAAAAAGUACAACGACACGAAGAAGAGAUCAAAAGAAAUCGAAACAUAAACCUACAAGUGAAGUGAAAAAGAAGAGAUCGAACCUUUCUGGAUGUUGUAAAUAUAUUCAUUAUAUAUGUAUAUAUUAUAUAUUCUAUAUAUUAUAUUUGAGCUCUAUGCUUUUAAGUACCAAGUUAUUGCCGUGCUUGUAGAUUUUUGCCAUUGGUGAUUAAGGAGUAUGCGGUCUGGAUGAUUGGGCUCUCUAGGGUUUUGAGUGGUAGUUUGGUUGAUGUAUAAUUAUGGUUGAAAAUGAUCGAGACGUAGAUCUACGGUAAAACUUAUAGCACCAAUGCUUGGUGCUUUACAAGCCACCAGAGCUGGCUCUCUCUUCUUCUCUCUCUCUCUCUCUCUCUUCUCUUCUUCUUCUCUAUAAUUAUUAUAUUAUACUAUUAUAUUAUUGAUAUAUUAGAGUUGAGCUAGAAUAUUCGAUAGUCAACGAGCCGUUAUUUACGAUUUGUUUCGAUGAUUGGCUUCCAAAUGCGAUCGGCCUCCUGUUAAAUAUUGACUACAUUUAACUAGCUAGAUAAUCAAAUUUACGCACUGAUAUUGUGUUCUUUUAUCCAGUCAACGUGAACAGAAAAAUGAAUGCGCUGAAAAUGAAUAUUCUUUAAAUAUGAUGGUUAGGAGUCUUGUAAUCAAGAUCAAGAGUAUAGAUCUUGUUUUAAAUAGUUUAAAGAUUUUCUAACAAAAUUCAAGUGAUUUGGUAUUUUCACGCCGUUUAACAGACGAAAACGCCUGCUUAUGGACCAUUAAAUUACUAAUUUUGAAACCUUUGAUCAUUAGGCAAUGAUGUCGAAAGAUUUGAAUUUGAUUUCUAAAUUACUUAAUGGUAUAGAUAUGUUCAACGGAGCCGCUCGUCAUUUGGGAAGUUAUAUCCGAACAAUCGGUAGUACGGCUCGUUACUACGAUCAUUUGUCUAGCUUUUAUAUAUAUAUUAUUAUUAUUAUUAAUAUAUCUAUAUAUUUUAAUAUAUAUAUAUCUUGGUGGCGUACUUAUCAUAUGGUAUAGAGCCCUUUGUACUUCUAGUUUGUCGAGCGUUUCAGUAUGAAAAUAUGGUUCGGGAUCGAUAAGUGGUUUACGGUUAGGUGAUAGUAGGCCCCUAGGUUGAGUGUGUGUUGUUGGAUUGAAUAGUUAUCUACAGGUGUGAAUGAUUAAGGUAUAUCUAACGGCCUAAAAGUUUGAGUAAAUAGAUUUUUUUAUUUUUUUAUAUAAAGUAUAGUCGCGACUGUAUAUAUAUAUAUAUAUAUUAUAUAUUACUAUAUAUAUAUGUUAUAUUUAGUAUUAUAUAUUAUUUACAUAUAUAUUACUAUUAUAUAUAGUAUAACCAAUUAUAUAUAUAUAUAUAUAUAUAUAUAUAUAUAUAUAUAUUAUAUAAUAUAUAUAUAUAUAUACUGUUAUAUAUAAUAAUAUUAUAUAUAUAUAAACUGUAUAUUAAUAUAUAUGUGAAUUAUCCUAUAUAUCUAUAUAUUAUAUUACACAUAUAUUAAUAUUACAUAAUAUUUAUAUUUAUAUACACAUCAUAUAUAUAUAUAACUAUUGUUAUAUUAACUUAUAAUAUUUAUAUAUACACAAAUUUUAUACCACGCUCAAAUUUAAAAUAUGUAGUUUAUAUGGUGUGUAUUAUCUAUAUAUAUAUAUAUAUCUGUCUAUAUUAUAUAUACACAAGUAUAUUAUGUUUUAUAUAACAAACACAAUAUAUAAUCUACUAUAUAUUUAUAUAUAUUAUAUAUAUUUAACACCAUUUUAUCUAUAUAUAUAUAUAUAUAUGGUAUAUUCAAAGUAUUAUGUUAUUAUAGUUAUUUUAUUGUAUAUACUAUACAUAACUAUUCUGCAUUAUAUAUAAUGUAUUGUAUACAUAUUAUACAUAUACUUAUCUUUAUAAAUUUAUAUAUAUAUGUGUGUUAUAUAUUAUAUAUGUAUGAUAUUUAGUCAUAUAUAUAUAUAUAUAUAUUAUCAUUUAUUUAGCUGGGGUUCGGUACUAUAGUCCGUUUUCGAUGUUUGGCGUUUUUCCAUAUCAGCGAUCCAAUCGUAAAUUUGAUUAAGGUAUUUAACUUAAAUUUUAUAUUUCUGCGACUGUUUACUUUUAUGAUCACAUAAUUUCAAAAUUACGGCUACUGUGGUAGUUUGGGUUUAGCCUGUAGAGAAUCUAUCAAUUCAUAGAAAUACUUUAACUAUCGUGGUUAACGGUUAUAUGUUUGAGUUCUUGAAUUUAAAAGUACUUACUCAAUUUAAGAGUUAUUCUUACGUCAUUUUGCAUAUUUAUUUAAUGGUAACCGAUGAUUCGAAAAAAACUACGAUUUAUUCUAAGACUUAUUAUCUAGAUCUAUUAUGUAAAUUUGAACUCCCUCAGAUCGCAAGACUAUAGUGGCAAAUCUAUAGUGCCUAAUUAUUAUAUUAUAUAUAUCUUUAUUAUUUAUAUAAAAAGCGAAUGAGGAGAAGAGAGAGAUGAUUGACAUCGAUAGCAAAGCGGGCUCUGUUGAACUUUGUUUUCGAUGAUGCAGCUCCUCGUCGUCGGCAUAUCAACCAAUCUAUCUUUUAAAUUAUUUUCAUUGUAAUAUAUUGAUAGUCCCAAAAUUUUAAAUUUUAAAUUAAUUUUAAAUUUUGAAUUAAAAUAUAGAUUUACUGUAGAUAUUCUGACAAAAAUGUGGAUAAGCAUAAUAUUUUUCUAUUUUAGAGAUAAAAAAUUAAAUAAUUUUUUAAUUAAAAUAUAGAUUCACAGUAGAUAUCUUUCUAUUGUCAAAAAUUUGGAUAAGUAUAUUUUUUUUCUAUUUUAGAGAUUAACAGAAAUGAAAGUUUGUUUCAUUACGUUAUUUAUUUUACGUACGGAAAGAGGAAUCAAUAUUUUUCCCGUUUAAAAAUGGGUCUGUCGACAGACCCAAAUUUGAAAUACGUGCUUUUAUAUAUAGUAUAGAUAUAGUAGAGUUACUAUACUAUCGGAAGUAUAGAGAAUCUGGUGCUUCCGAUUUUUUGGCCGUUAGAUCAGCCGUUUUAAUUAUUUUUAACCUUUGGAUUAAUCCUAUUACCCUGUGGGAACCACUCAACCCUAGGGGUACUACUCAACCCUGGGGGACCACAAUCAUCCCAACCGUAAUUUAGAUUUUUUGGCCGUUAGAUCAGCCAUUUUAAUAAUUUUUAACCUUUGGAUUAAUACUAUUAUCCUGUGGGGACCACUCAACCCUAGGGGUAUACUCAAUCCUGGGGGACCGCAAUCAUCCCAACCGUAUAAUUCUUAAUGUAAGGGUCAAAAUAUCGGAAGUAUCAAAUGCUUUAUGCUCCCGAUAGCAUAGUAGCUCUACAAUAUAUAUAUAUACAGAGAGAGAAAGAGAGAGAGAGAGUUGGACUGGGCUACUAUUAGUAGCAAAAUCCCAUUGUUACUACCAGUUUUUUAGCCUUUGGAUCAACUCUUUUCAUUAUUUCUAACCAUUGAAUUAAAUACUAUAACCCAGUAGGGACCACUCAACCCUAGGGGGACCACUCAACUCUAACCGACUAAUAUCAUCCUGACCCUACAAUUUUUCAUCCAAGAGUUAAAAAUUUGAUAGCAAAAAGUGCGUUUUACUAUUAAUAGUAUUCCAGCCUAAUUCUAUAUAUAUAUAUAGCUAGUCUCCUAUACUAUUUAUAGUAUCGGAGCUACGGUACUAUAGUCUCGUUUUCGAUCUUAGGGUGUUCAAAUCAACGAUCCACACCGUUAAAACUGAUCUAGGGUAUUUAAAUUUUUUAGAAAUAAAAUUUUAUAUUUUUUCGACAUAUUUUACUUUAUGAUCAAACCAUUUCAAAAUUGUCAAUUUUCAAUGGCUACUAUGGCGAGUUUGGAGUUUAACGUGUGGAAGAAUCUAAAUUUCUUCAAAUUUUCAUAGAAAAUACUUUAAACUAUUUAGAUUAAGGUUAACAUUCUUGAUCUUGAAUUUAAAAGUUCUAUACUCAAAUUUUAAAGAUUAUUCAAUUUUCACCGUCCAUUUUGACAUAAUUUAUUUACUAAGUAAACGAUAUCGAAUAAAACUAAAAUGUUAUUCCUAAGAACUUCAUAUACUCUAGAUCAUAUUUAACGGUGUGGAUCGUUAAUUUGAACACCCUAAGAUCAAAAACAAGAUUAUAGUACCGGAGCUUCGGUACUAUAGAUAGUAUAGUAGCCUAAUUUUAUAUAUAUAUAUAUAUAUAUAUAUAUAUAUAUAUAUAUAUAUAUAUAAGCGAGAGGAGAGAGAGAGAGAGAGGAAUGAGAGAUGUUUUUUUUUUUUUUUUUUUUUUUUUUUUUUUUUAACUAGAAUACUAUCGAUAGCAACGGGCAUCUGUUUGGCCACCCCCAUUUGUUUCGAUGAUAGAGCCUCCAAAUCGACGAUCGGCACCGUUGAACAUGAUCUACACCACUUGAAGUAUUUAGAAAUCAAAUUUCAAAUCCUUUCGACAUCAUUUACCUAAUGAUCAAAGGGUUUCAAAAUUUGUAAUUUUAAUGGUCGAUAUGAGGCAUUUUCCCGUUUAACGGCGUAAAGAUAUCCAAAUCAAUUGAAUUUUUGUUAGAAAAUUCUUUAAACUAUUUAAAACAAAAUCUAUACUCUUGAUCUUGACUACAAGACUCCUAUCAUCAUUUUUUAAAGAAUAUUUAUUUUUAGCCGUUCAUUUUUGUGUCCGCUUGAUGGAUUAGAGAAUAAUAUCGAAAAUGUAUGAAAUUUGAUUUCUAAACACUUCAAGUGGUAUAGAUCAUGUUUAACGGUGCAGAUCGUCGAUUUGGAGGCUCCAUCAUCGAAAACAAAUGGGUGGCAACAGAGCCCGUUUGCUACCGAUAGUAUUCUAGCUCAACUAUAUAUAUAUAUAUAUAGUCCGGCUACUAUACUUUUAUGAGUAUUGGCUCCUUUAUACUCAUAAGUUUUCGGCUCUUAGAUUUAUUUCACUGAUUAUUUCCAUCCGUUAGAUCAUACUAUUCAACCAACUACCCACUCAACCCUAGGAGACCACAAUCAUUUUAAGUGGGGACCACCAUCAUCCUAACCACACAUUUCAUCAAUCAACGGUUAAAAAUUUAUGAGUACAAGGGGGCCUAUACUCAUAAGAGUAUAGUAGCCCCAGCUUAUAUAUAUAUAGGCUGUGUGUGUGAAGUUGCAUGUGGGAAACCCUAACCCUUGCCGCUCUAGGCUCCCAGCGUGACUGCCACCUUUCCCCUGGGCCUCACCUGCGCCGGCGACCUCUCGGCCGGCGAGGAGCCCCUCAAUUUCUUCAUCUCCUCAUCUUUCUCUCUCUUCCUUUCUUCCUUUCUUCUUCCUUGUGAGCCCGAUCUGCAAGGAGAGCCAUGCAACUCCCUUGGGCCCUCCCUACGCUGCCUUAUCUCCGGCAACUCAUAUCCGACGGCCUCGUGCGUUGUUGAGGUCACCGCGGCCGCCGGACCCCUCAUCUUUAUUGGCUCGGGCUUGGAGGAGCCACCUUUCCUCUACGCCACUGCCGCCUAUAAGUUAUGGAUCCCAAAGAUCUAAAAGAUAAAAUAAUACCUAGAGGGGGGUGAAUAGGUGUAAACGACAAAACAAAUAAUCUCGAUGCAAAUUAAAACCAAGUGCAGAAAAAUAAAACCAACACACCAAGAUUUUACGUGGAAAAACUCCAACUCGGAGUAAAAAACCCACGAGACCAAUUACACGAAAUAAUCCACUAUGAAAAAUUGAGUGUAAAGUGAUUUACCAAAUUCAUGACCCAACUUUUACCGAAUCCUCGUCGUAGAUCGUCUUCGCCGGUCCUCAAUUGAUCGAACUCCUCCAAUCGAUCACACCGCAAUUCCUCGCAGCAACAACGUCUCGAAUCCACAAGCGUCCACCGAAUCCUCGGCCUCACGCGAAGCCCUCGCACAAACACUCCAUCCAGAGCCCGUAGAAAAAAUAAUUGGUGGUGAUUGAAUUUUCUUAAAAAACCAUAGAUAUGAGGAGAACCUUUUCAAUCCAUCAUCAACUCAAUUCUCAAUGGAAUAUUGGAAUAAAAACCUAAGAAUCGAGUCAACGAUUGAAAGAUCGAAACUUGCUUUAAGACAUAAAUCGAAAAGCUCCAAAAAUAAGUUUUUAGGGUUUCUAAAGGAUCUUAUUUCUAAGCAUAUGUAUUAGGACACUCCCCAUAGCUUAUUUAUAGGUUUAGGAGACAUAGAUAUAUAUUAGGAUUUGAAAAACUCAUCUUUAAAAACAGACGACGGUCUCAAGGUCCGGACCUUUCACAAGGUCCGGACCCUCCUUGCGUGGUAAAUAAUCCAACGUAUAGGGUUCGGACCCUAGCCCGAAGGUCCGGACCCUCUCUGCGUAAACGCAAGGAGGACCUACGGGGUCCGGACCUUGAUCCCAGGGUCCGGACUCCGAACCUUGAAAAACUUAGUUUUUCUAAUUUUUUACAUUUAUAACUCAUUCGAAGUCUCCCAACACUUUUAAAUGUGCAAAAUAUCACCACAAAUUAUUACAGCACAUACCUGAGAUAACGAGCGAGUCAGUGCCUUCCGAGACCUUCUGUGGGUCCCGGGAAUGUCUCGGUGCAAUUUCGGGACAUUUCUAGCGGUUUGCGGAGAUCAGUUGUUGGGAAACCGAGUCUCAGGAUGUGGGAAUUGUGUGAGUUCUUUCGUUGAGUUAGUAGGGGUUUGUAUCUGACUCGGCAGACCCGUCGUAGGUCCGGUUGACUUCUUGCACGUCCAGGAUUCAGACGCGACUGUGACAGGUGGGUACUUCGAUCCGAAGUCGGUUCAGUGGCAUAUGCUCGGUGACUUCUUUCCUCUCCCUUUUCUGUGACUGCGUAGCUUAUCAUGAUUAUCUGUUCAGUACUUUGCAUUGCAUGGCUUAUUAUGAUCAUAUGUUUUGUAUCUUGCACAUUACUUGGCACUCGUUGGUCUACUCUACGGUUAUUUCAUCUUGUAGUAUCGUGUUUUACUCAUUAGUAGAGUAGCAUCCUAGUGAUUGAUUAUCAUUGCAUGACCUUAUCAUGGACGACAUUUCAUACUUGGUGAUACGGCUUUAUAGACCUGAUAGGUCAGUGACAUUGUGACAUUCCUUCGGGAAUAUUAGACCUGAUUUGGUCGGACAUGGUUGUGAUCGUUCUUCCGGCUUUUCGCCGUCGUUGGCCAUUGAGCAUAUAGUAUCAAUCUCCACAGCUCAUACGCAUUUCUUGAACACCAGCGGUCUGAUCCACCACGAGGGAGUGUUUUUUUCUGAAAAAGUAGUUGGGAGUGCCAACCCGUGAACUCAAGAGCUUAUGCUAGGGUUAUAUGCAAUUCAGAGCGGUGUGGCACUAGCCUGAAAUCUUUAGACCAAUAUGGCUUUUGAUUGGGUAUAUUAGUACUAUCAGUUUUUAGUUGAUGCAUGGACAUUCCUCCAUCUUUACUUUACAGUAGCAGUUGCUUGUAUUAUAAACAAAAGCGAUAUAUGCGACAAGUAAAUAAACAUGAGUACUUACUACUACAUAAGGUCUCUACUUAGCAUGGAAUUGCAUAAGUAAGAAAGUUAUACUAUCAUGAAAAUGCACGAGUAUACACCAUCAUAAUAUCCACAAUGUAAUAGUAAAAUGUCAUUGUUUACUAUUCUAGUCAAUGUUCACUUGGCAUGUUAACUACUUAAAGUUAAAUCUUGGAAGAUCCGCCCGAAGGUUGUUUGGCCUGUAGACCCACCCGUAGGCUGUCUGGCCGGUGCCGAGCCUAAUGGCCCUGUGGUAGUCAACAUCCCCACCCUAGGAAUGAGCCUUGCCCACGACAAUCCACUUCGGCGCCCAAUCCCGCAUGGCUAAUAUGUAUCGCGAUGGCCAUCUCCGGAGUGCCAGCUUUUAGGGAGCGACCCUCACAAGCAUGUGCGAAUGAGCACAAAGGCAAGUAAGCAUAUAUGUCCGUCUCAAGUCUCAAGUCAUCAUGUCUAAAAUAUGGAAUAUAGCAACUGUGUCGAUGGCCUAUCACUACAUCAUCAUGUCUAAAACACGGAAUAUAGUCGAUGUCCAAUGGCCUAUCACUAUGUCUCUAUGUUGCAGUUUCAUAGUUUAGUAGCUCAAGUGCUCCUUUAUGGCGCUUUUGUUCACUAAGUCAAAGUAUGAUAAUUAUGUUCAUGAAUACAUAAUUCUAAUCAUUUCCCUCGCACGAGACACGUAAUCAACUCGUAAGGAUAAACACUUCCACAUGCAUGCAGCCUACACAUAUAGCUCCACUAUAUAGAGUGAAAUUGUUAUUAUACAUAACACAUGCAUUUUAAGUGUUCUAAAAUUCACAUAAAUUCCAUUUAGCAUGAAUAUGCAAUCAAAUUGACGUUACGACAAGUAUAACACCCAUAGGUGGCAUUUUGCCCCGGUUUCAUGAAGUCAAACCCACCACAACUCUUGCGACUGUUCGUUUGCUCUGACGAAGGUGCCCACUAGUCUCCUAGCACCCUAAAGAUGUAGGAAUAAGAGUUAAACAAACCUUACAAACAUCUCAUAGCUCAAACAUUAACCAACUCUAGCUAAGGUGGAGAAAACUCACCUAUAGCGUAGAAAUCCUCUAAGAAAUUCUAAAUGGAAGCCAAAUCCCUUCCAAAGCAAACUAUACCAAGGUUCUAAACCAAUCAAUAGAGCUCCAAAAGCUUUUAAUCAAAAAGUCCCAAAAAUAACCCUAAAUCUCAUUUCUAGGGUUUCAUUUGGUAAAACCUACCAAAAUAUGCUCCAAAGAGUAGAUUAAGCAUACUAACCUCCUUGGUAGCUCCAAACCAAGCUCAAAAUGCUCUAGGGUUGAAGGUUGGUCCUCUAUCAAGCUCCUAGCCCAAGCUCCAAGCCAUCAAUGGUGAGAAGAGAGGGUGUGGGGGAAGUCCAAAGUCCACCAAGCAAGCUCUCCUUCCUCUUCUCCUCCUUCUUCCCUUUCUUCCUUCUCCUUUCUUCUUCUCUUUUUAGAGAGUGUGAGAGAGUGAGAAGUGAGGGAAAGAGAGAGAGAGGAAAAGCCCUAAAAGCCCUCUAAAGUAACAAAAUCCAGAAAAGCCCCUCAACUUUGCAACCUGUGCACUGCCCUGACUGGGCAGUUUUCGAAUGGAGGGACCGGUCUCUCCCCAUAUGGGACCGGUCCCUCAGGACCUUCCUGCAAAACCAACACUCGGGAACCGGUCUCUCUCUGGCCAGGGACCGGUUGCCUCAAAGUCUACCGCAACUGUAGCUACGAGUGACCGGUCUCUCCCACUAGGGACCGGUCCCCGAGAGUGAAACUUUCAGGACUUAGCCAAAAAUACAGAAUUUCGAACUACCGGUCAAAACACCGUCUACAACCCUCCACAAGGUGUGGAAAAGCUCGGAACUCAAAUCAAACACUCGAACCUCGCAAUUUGCACAGGUCCAGUGUGUUACAGGGUGGCGGGCGCGCAGGCAGGGGACGGGUGCGGCCAGUCAGUGGGGCCGGGGCACAUGCUAGCCGACGACGGAGGAGAUCAAGCCCGUGCGGCUCGGCUCGGCUCGGCUCGGGUCAGGGAAAUAACGGUGGCCAGGCAGCGGCCGGGAGAGUGCCGGGGCGACAGCGGUCGGUCGCUGGAGGUCGAGAGAGGGUGGCGCGGUUGUCCGUGGGCGGCAGUGGCGCGCGGGGGUCAAGAUGACCCCGGUUUGGCGCGGUCUGGGUCUGGGUGCCUGCAGGGAGCCAAGGUGGCGGUCGGGGGCCCGCAGGGACGGCGGCGAGGGAUCGCAGGAGGCCCAAGAGGGCGGCGCGGCCGGCCAAGGGCGGCAGCGGCGCGUGGUCCUCGAGCUAGGCUGAGCUCGGCCCGAGCUAGGUCUGGGUUGGCCGUAGGUCUCACGGGCGGUGCCGGCGGCGCGCGCUGACGACGCGGGCCGGCGGGGACGGCGCUGUGGGACGGGCCUCAACCGAGGGAGGGGCCUAGACGCGUGAGGUUAAUUCUCUGGAGUCGACGGCUGAGAAGGUGGAGAGGAUGGUUGAGAGGGAGGCAAUGUUGGCCUUUUCUAGCGGCCGGGGACGCACGCCAGCGGCCGGGGUGCGCGUGAUGGGGUGUUGGGAGGUGGUGGAGUCAGCUGGGGGUGCAGCUAAGAUAGUUGGUCAGCUUGGGUUAGGGUUUCCUUCAUGAAACCCUAACACUUAUAUUUAUAUAAGGUGUAUUAUUUGCAGAAAAGUCCCCCAAAGCUGACUAUUUUUAGCCCAGUCCCUCACAACGCGUGUAUUUAGUGCGUACGCACCUCGGCGUUCGAAAUCGCGCCAAACGGCACAUAAAAUAUUGGGCUUUUUUUUGCAAUUUUUUCGUUUUGCCAAUUUUAACCCCUCAGCGAACUUUAUGCUAUUUCCGGAGAUCCGUCCGUCGAAUUUUCGAUCGGAUUGCCCCAGCGCGUUCAGCACGAUUGGGGCAUCGAAUCUACAAUUUUGUUUUGUCUGAUUUGGUUGCCGAUUUGCGAUGAAACCUACCCUCUCCGCGAUCCACAACACAACCAUAUACCACCACACACACACAACACACACACAUAUAUAUAUAUAUAUAUAUAUAUAUAAUAUAUAUAUAUAUAUAUAUAUUAUAUAUAAUAUAUAUAUAUUUAUAUAUAUAUAUAUAUAUAAUUUGACAUUUAAAAAUUCAAAUUCGAAUUUCCUUUAUUAUUCGAAUCUCAGAUAUUAAAGCAAAUCAAGUACCUCUCUGGAGGGACACAUCAAUCCGCACCCAAAGUCGCUAACUCGGUCUAAGCACAGUGUAUAUCAAAUCUGGGGAUUAAAACUUUGGGUGGCAAACCCUGUCUACUAAACAUCACCUCCCACUAGUCUGGCAACUGAAGUACCCUGGGUUAGGAACCUUAUCUAAGACUCCUUCAGUGCCAUACAAGCUAUAGUCAUAUGUAUAUACUCAAAGCUCCAAUAACCUAGACUCAACAGUCCAAUCACUGCUCGUAGGGGACAAUAGGAGCCAAGAGGUAAUCGUAAUGGAUGCCAACAAAAAUACAAGAUCCAAACUCUCCGGGUCGACUAGCAUGCUACAGUACUAAACAAGUAUGUAGGAAAGACAAAGAUAAUGUAAGUGACAGAGGUAAGCAUGCUAAAGACCCAAUCAUACGGACUACGUCUUCCGACCCUUAGGUCAAAAAUCUGAGGAAGUAGACACUAAUCAGCUAAGUCAAUCUCAUACUAGAUAAAUCAACCGACUAAUAUAGUCACAACUCAUCAAGGAGUAAGCACCGAUCUAUUAGAUCCAAGUAUACACAGGUGGAUGUUCUACCAAGUCAUCACCUAUUCUACAUGUCACAUACGUGAUACGAGAGAGCUCAAUCAAAAGUCUACCAAUCUAUAUGAUAAUCAACAUGACAACAAUAGGCAUGUAGAGUAAAAGCACGGGCCAAUACGAAGUCAACAGAAGUUAUCCUACUCAAUUAAUAGAAUAGAUCAAGCGGAAAGAAAGCUGAGUAAGAUACAACUUUACCGACUUCGGAAUGGAGCACCCACCUCACCAAGUACCGAAGUGUAAUAUCUAAGAUUUUGAAUAAAAGAAAUUCAAAUUUGAAUUUUGAAAUUGAUAUAUAUAUAUAUAUAUAUAUAUAUAUAUAUAUAUAUAUAUAUAUAUAUAUAUAUAUAUAUAUAUGUGUGUGUGUGUGUGUGUGUGUGUGUGUGUGUGUGUGCGCGCGCGCGCGUGUGUGUAUAAGGUUAUAUAGGUGGAUUUCAAAGAGGAUGGGUUUCGUCGCAAAUCGGCCACCAAAUCGGGUGAAACAAAAUAGUGAUAUUGAUGCCACGGACGUGCUGAUCGUGCUAGCGCAGUCCGUUCGCAAAUUCGACGAAUAAAUCUCCUGAUAUUGCGUGAGGAUCGAGAAGGGGUCAAAAGUGGCAAAUUGGAAAAUUCGCAAAACCCCCUAUAUUUCAUGUACCGUUUUGCGUGAUUUCGAACGUGAAGGUACGUACACCCGUUUUACUCGCGCUGUGAGGGACUCGGUUGAAAAUACCGAGCAUCGAGGACUUAAUAGCAAAAUGACACUUGAUAUAUAUAGGUAUUUAGGGUUUCAUGGAUGAAACCCCAACCUUAGUUGGCUUCCUCCCUCAGUUGACCUCCUUGCCACCCUCAGUACCUUCCCCUGCCUUAGGCGUGUGCACCCCGGCCGCCUCCGCACAUUGCCGGCCGCUGGAGCAAGACCCUCUUCCUCACACUCUCUUUCUUUCUAUCUCUUUCUUCUCACCUCUGUCCAAGAGCAACCAGGAAGGCCCUCACCCUCGAGCUCCUCCCCUGACAGUCCCUCCGACCUCCGGUGACCUCCCGAGUGUCCCCACGUGUCGCUGUUGCCAUCUCUAGCAGCCUGCGGCCAGGCCGAGCAAGCUUUGGCUCAGGGUGACCGAGCUCCUUUCCCUCGCUCUACUACCGCUCGGGGCCACCUUGGCCGCCCUCCCCCGACCCUCGGCGACCUCCCUCGCCGGUCGCCACUAUCCCAGCGUGUCGCCACUGCUGCCCCUAGCAGCUUACGGCCAGCCUGGGCAAGCUCAGGCCGAGGGUGACUAAAAUCCCUCCUCUCACGCCGCCACCGCCUAGGGCUAGCCGCGCUGUCUCCCUCUGGCCUCCGGCAACCCAUCGCCGUCGUCUCGUAGCACCCCGGCCGCUAUCAUGGUCGUGGCAAGCUCUUGAACCCGAGCCGAGCUUGUGCGGGUUCAGGUUGCUCCGCCGCCGCCACCGCCUCCCACUGCCGGCUAGCGCGAGCCCCGACCUCCCCCCAUCGGCCGUACCCACCUGCCGCUGGCAUGGCCACCGUCGAGCCGCCACCGGCCGUGCCCUAGCUCCCCCUGCCCGGUAAGCUAAGUUAAUGCUGUUUGUGCACUAGUUCAGGGUUGUUUGACUGUUUCAGUGAUCUGAGGCCACCCCGAUGCCUCUGGAAGUGAGCACGAUGAUCCUUGAUCAGUGCUGAUCAUCGUGCUCAUUUUCUUUGGGGUCAGCGAGCCCCUAGUUUGUGGAACAAGCGCGAUUUAAGUUUAGUGCGCGUAGUUCGCUGAACUUCGGGUUGCUCCCGCGCUCUCCACAGCAUAGUUAGUUAAUUCGCGAAUAAUUCGUGAAUUAUUCGCGAAUUUUUGAAAUCCCGAAUUUUACAGCCGUUUACGCAUUUUUCCCAAAAAUUCGGAAUAAUUCGCGUUUUUUUGGGCAAAAAGAAUUAUUCGCGAAUUAAACGGGAUUCGCGAAUAAUUCGGCCCAAAAAUACGGCCCGGUUGCUGCGAGCCGCGUCGGGCGGGCCUCGCAGGUGGCCCAAACGGGAAAAAAAAUAAUCGCCUGUCGCCCAAAAAAAAAAAAAAAAAACCCUUUCUGAAUCGCCCCCCUCCCACGCACGAGUCCCACACCCACUCUCACCCCCACCACUCCCAAAAAAAGGGUUUGCCCUAACUUCUCACCCUGCGGCGGUGCGGCGCGCGGCCCUGCCACCGACCCUAUGGCGGUCGCGGUCCCUUCCCCUCCCCCUCUUCCCUUCCGGCCGCUCGCCGAACGCCAUCGGAAGCCCUCGUCUUCAGAAAUUGAAGAUCGAAGAUCGGGUUCUUCACUCUUCAGAAAUCGAAACCCUCCUCGUCGCCUCUUCCGCUUCCGCUUCAGCUAUCCAACAAUAGAUCAGUAAUCGGGUGGUUUUUUUACAAAGCAAAAGUUGGAAGCUUUUAGUCCAUUUGAUGGAUACUUUUUUAUACACAAAUGGCUCGAGUGCUUAAAUUGAAUGUGUCCAUUAAUUCUCUGUUAUGCACAAAGAAGACCCAAACAUAGAGCUAAAUAAUCUUAAUUAACUUAUAAGGUACCAGGAACUCUUGUAUUAUACCUAAUCAAUUUCAUGAAUGUGUUCAUUCUCUGUUUAUUAUUAUUUUUUUACUUAAUUUUGUAGCUUUUUAUUUUUAUAUCCUUAAAAAAUAUGAAUAUUUAUGCUAAUUGCAUAAAUUUUGAGAGAAAAAAAUUAAUUUAAUAGCCGAAUUUUUGAUCCCGAAUUUUUAAUUGGUAAACGUAUAAUAUCCGUAUAAAUCACGUAUCCGAAUAAUUGGCGAAUCCGUUUUUAAGCCGAUUUUUUCAACGAAUUUAAAAAUUAGAAUACGAAUUUUAUCCGAAUUAUACACGUACCGAAUUUUUGCCGAAUCCGAAUUAACUAACUAUGCUCCACAGUGAGCCUCUGUGCUUCGAACUGUGAGCACGGCCUCCGGCUUGUCGAGACCUGUCAGCACAUGUCUUUGCUGACCUCGAAAGCUGUACAAUUGCAACCUACUCCCUUUUUGCACCCAACUCCACAGCACAGCGCAAAUUACGUCGAAGCCCUCCGAAUGAGGAACUUCGCAGAUUCAUGCAUUAAAAAUCACACUUUACGAAGAGAUCCCCCGUUCAACACUCUUUCCCCAACUUCAAAUAUGUGUCAUUUUUCAUAGGAAUCUCAGAAUUUCGUAAAAUUUGAGCCCGUGCGAUCCUCUCUAAGUCUAGAUUCACAUGGGUCCAUCCAUUUAUGAAAAUUCUAGAAUUAUCACAUAAAAUGUUAACCCCUUCGCGCAAAGUCCUCUUUUGCACCGAUUGUAAAAAUUGCCGUUUAAUCCCUCAUAAUCACAAUUUCUAACCCCAAACUCACCUAUAGGUGUGUUUUUCUCAUAAGUUCUUCCACCUCAAAAUUCAUGCAAUUUGACACAUGAAAUGUCGCGCUUUUUAGAAAAUUACUCCAAUUCAGCAAAAUUUGCACUUUUACAAAUUCAUCCCCAAAAUAUCACCAAAUCACGCCAAAUUGCAUCGAGGUCCAUUACCGGACUUACUAUACUGGCGGACCAUGAAGGUGGCACUUUUUAUUUCAUUGAAAAUCAUAUCUAAUUCCAAUAAUUUUGCAAUGCGGGCUGUCUUAUGCAGUAUCAAUUAUAUAUGUUGGACCCCUAGACUAGUUGUUCUAAGCUUGAAAAUCAAUUCGGAGCCAGAAUGGGGGCUGUGGUGCUUUUGUUGUCAAAAUUAGUUGUUAUAAUGUAAUUUCUAUUUGAAAUUCACAUAAACAUCAUUAUGGCUAUCUUUGUACAUCAUUGAGCUUUCUUAGCUGGUCGAUCUUCACUGUCUUGUUUGUCCGAUGACAAUAGGAGGUCAUGAUCGGUUCUGAGGCCUAAAAUGGCACUUCUGGAGCUCAAAAUGGCAUAUUUUUUAUACUAAAAUUUCUUUCAAUUUGCAUUUAGAAUGUGAGUGCCUUGGCACCUAAAUUGCUGCAUUUUGGGAUAAUGAAUGGGAUGAUGAGAUGCAUAGUGUGUUUCGGAACCUUUGUAGGCUGAAAUGGCUACUUCAGCGAGCUUACAUAAAUAUCGACUAAAAUUGGAAAUCGGUAGUUGGAGCCAAUGUUUUGGUCACAUCGUAGACAUUGUUGGUUACUUCAUAUCACUUUUAUGUAGUAAUGUUGUACUAGGGUCACCUUGGGACUGAACUCAUAUUGUAUAUAUGGUUCAGCAUUAAAAUAGUGUUUAAGAUACUAAAAUUGGUCCUUCUCAGCCAAACUAUUGGCUCAACUAAACUAUUGGCUUAGGAUUGUGUGGCCAUACUUGUUGUUGGUCAGAGCAACAUUAUAGUCACAUUUCGAGUGAAAAUGAUCCUUGAGAGUGAUCAUAUAGUUAUGUGUUGUCCUAUACUCAAAAGCAACAACUUUGGCACUUUCCAAGCCAAAAACUUUGCCAUUUUUGACGCAUUGGUUUGUGCACUUCGACUCCUAAACUUGUGAUGUGUUUUAGAGCGUUCUCACUAGUUGAAACAAGUAGCAUUAGUACUGUUCUUAUCUUCCGCUGGCUCCUACGUCACAUCAACAUACAUCGAAACCCAUUGUGGCCUAGUUUUUGGGUCGAAACCUCUGUUGUUAUGCACCUUGAGGGCAGUUGUCCCAGUACAUAAAUUAGUGCAUUUUGGGAUAGUGAGUUGUCUAAAGAGACUUAUGGUUUGUCUCAAAACACUUUCUAGAUUUUGUGGAAGUCUCACUGAUGUAGGCAACGGUUUGGGCGAGUGUCACGCCCCGGGGUCCCUUUUUGUUUAAAACAUAGCGGAAAAGCGUCUGAAUUUUUUUUUUUUUUUUUUUUUCAAACCUGACCCCAGAGUAUGCCAGAUCCGCCACAAAUACAGGGAAUCCACUGUUCACACGGACAGAGUCUCCCCUGUAUUUGCACGGCAUCGUACAAGUACAAGAGUAUAGCCAGGAAACAACCACAACCAAAUGAAUAUAACGAUAACUAUACAUUCAUACAUUCACCAUUCACGUCACAGUUUUACAUUCAGUGUUUAAAUAGAAAUUCACGAAAAUUCUUUUGAAAACUGUUCCCUACACGGAAACCUUUAUUCGUUAAAAACGCUACCACGAGGGGUAGAAAACCUUUUAUUUUACAAAAUCCAGAAAUCCACAUUUUCAAAUGUAAAUAAACACUGAACCACAUAAACCAACUAAACUAUUCAUCAGCCAAAAUAAGAAGGGUAAGAAAGUAAACCGAAUUAACCCGGGUCGAAAGCUCUAUCGACCGCUACACGCGUACCUCACGUCUCGUCCCACUACUCAUCGCCCACGAUACCUGAAAAAUGGUGGGGGAGGUGAGAACAUGUAAACAUGUCUCCCCUCCCAGUGGGUACCGCAAGCCGAAGAAGGCGAGGAGUACUCACCGGAUCAGGAAGAGAUAACCAACAGUAUGGGUAAGUAAAAUACAGUAGCAACGAUAAUGAACGAAUGAGAUAUAUAUAUAUAUAAACACAACUACCGCUACUGUAAUGUACAACUGCAAGCAUACAAGGAUAUCAAAACUAUAGUAGCAAGACAACUGUAAAGAAAGAACUAGAAGUACAUAUGCAACAACCGCUACUAUAGCUAUAUGCGUCAACCGGACGAGAAGUCCAAAAGUACCCAAUCUAAACCGCCGUGUCGGUCUAAGGACCUCAGGCAAAAGCCACUAUCUGCUCACACCUGGCAUGUAACCCUAGCACAAAGAGAACACCGCUGGGCUCACGGGUCGGAUGUACGACCACUUUUCCGGAAAAGAACACCCUCCUGCGGGGGAUCAACCCGCUGGUGUACGUGAAAUGCACUCGAGCUGUGGCGAUC
rnacentral:lncRNA from 1 species